rnacentral:lncRNA from 1 species
AACCACUUCAAACACGAUAGAACAGAAAAUACAUCAUGCAAGUUCAGAUAUAAAGCAUGAGCGUAGACACCACCUCCUUUGUCCCGGUAAAAUCCUGAGUGGGCCACAAAACAUUCCAUCACUAAAUGAAGUAGAACGCCGGGACAACAUUAUAGGCUAGAUACAAAAGCUUGGGCUUUAAAAAGAAGGCAAAGUCAAUUUUCAAGAUGGGCAUCAACUACAUCAUAGAAAGGCUUGAAGGCUUUACUGCACCACAGGUUGGUGGUCUUGGCAGCCCAAGUUCUAAUUAAAUUUGGUAUACAGCAUCUCCUAGACCCUCCUCUUCACACGCUGAGCAUCCGCUGGAGGGCAAGUCAAAGGGGUCACCCAUUGAGAAAUCAUGGGCAUCCCUGUUGUGUGUGAAAUCAUCGUUAGUGCCACAUCUCAUUUCAAUUCGAGCAUCUCGAGAAGCUCUACUUGUGACUCGUAGCAGGCUGAGUUGAUGAGAAAACCAUCCGUGCUGGCGGUGGUAACGCAAUGUGAUUUUCAUUUCCUCUAGCCCUUUUGUAUUCAGAACAAAGAACCUGGCAAAGUCAAUAUAUGAAGUCUUGCUGCCGACAUAAUUCUUCAACACUACUUUUUUGAGAUGAAGCUCAAGACAUUCAAUUGGGUCCAGUGGGUCAUACUUCCGGGCAUUCAUAUACUCCCCUGGGUCGUAUGAGGGUAACCGGAACUGGAGACAGAGAGAGAAAAAAACAAUACAAAAAAAAUUGCCGACUGGUUAGCAAUACAAUAGUUGGCUAGAUUGCAUGCCAAUCAAAUGUUUAUAGUGACAUUUAAAGCAAGCAAGCAUGUUUUAUACUCACAAUGGCAUACAACCUCUCCAAGCAAGGGAAGCACUUGAGGAAGUUAACCACUGCAUCCAGAUUAGGGCCAGUAGAGCUGAGAGCCAAAACCCUCAUGGUGUGCAUUUUGGUUGUCAAACUGACAGCAACCCCUUCCUGCAGAACAAAGUGCAAAAUAUAAGAUUAGUAGCCUGCACAUAAGAAUGCCAAACGCAAUUGAUGAAGGCUGCCUGCUGCUACCUGAAUAAUUGAACUCCCAAGUUGGAAUUCGGGUAUGACUUCAGACAGGAGCAUACCGAAUAUCUCCAGUUUAGGCGCGCAGAUUAUCCGUAUGACCACUUUGCUGCCCGUUGAAUUAAGUGGUAGCAAUCUCUCAAGGCACGGGGCGUCCUCGAUGACUAACUCUUGCAAAAAGAUAUGAUUACUUCCAUUCCACCAGUCAACGAAAAAUCCCAAACUCCUAAGAGUUUGGGAGCUGAUGCAGAGGCGACUGAUGCCCCGACUUUCCUUUAGCUCGAGGCUUUCCAAGGCAGAGCAGCCAGAGAGCAUGCUCUGGAGAACGUCCUCCGAGAUGACGACCUUUUUCAGGGUCAGCUGCUUGAGGCAGGGGAACUUGAGGGACAGCUGCGAGAUCGAGUUGGGGAAAUGGAACCCGUGGAAUUUGGCCACGCGGAGAGUGGGCGAAAAUCGGAACGCCGACAAGGACAAUGGACGCCGGCCGAGCCAGAACAUGCAGGUGAGCUCGAGCUCCUGUAGCAUGUCCAGGGAUUGGGAGCUAAGCCAGCCAUCGAUCUCGUCGCCGCAGUCGGUGAAGAGGCGGACGGAGAAGCGUUGCGCGGGGCCAGUAUGCUCAGAGAGGAUCUUUGGGAUCGAGUCCAGGUUCUUGAGUUCACAGUCCAGCGCGAGAUUCAGAGGAGCGGAGCGCCAGAUCGGACGCCACCGGCGGGAGAGGACCUGCGUGCGGGCACCUUCCUUGGUGGGGAGAAGAGACACGACGGUGCCGAGGACGGCGUCGGGGACUCGGCUGAUGUGAUCGACGCUUCCCCCAUCGACAUGGUCGCAGUUGCCACUCCCCGAUGGAUCUUGGUCGUCGAUCUUACGCUUCUUGGAAGCUUGCAGUCGAUGCCGCAGCAGCCGCAGCAGCCUCCUUGCCCGCCGCCGCAGCCGCGAAGCCAUGGCUGGCGGCUUGCCGAGACGCCGUGGGAAGUUGGUGUGGUGGGGGGAUCGGGAACGAAUCCAGGGAUCGGGAACUCUCCCGUAUACCCUCUCUUUUUUUUCUUGAGAAAUAACCAAGGGGUUUACACAACAUCAUCCUUCUACUUGCCUCCUAGUUUAUUAGCCCCUUCGUAUUUAGUGUUAAAUUUUACUUUUACAAAAAAAUAGAAUGAGGGACAUAGGAGUUUUUCUUUCACAAAGAAAACAGAAGGCUUGAUCUUUUAUUAUUUUUUAUUUUUUAAAUUUAAUUUAGGUAUAAAAUGUUUCAAUCGAGUGGCCAAUUGCGCGCUCGCAUCGGCCGCCUCGACUGCUCGCCAUGUGCCCUUAUGGACCCCACACAAAUCACUCCCCUUGCCUUGUCAUUAUAUCUCUUCGUCUCCCUGGCUGAUCCCCAUCCAUCAUCUCUCCUUCCUCGCACUCCACGCCGUCGCCACCUGUGAAAUCUCGUUCGUGCCACUCACCUCCUCAUCUCUAGGGCGUCGGUUGACCAGCACCCGCUAAUAUCAGCACCACAAGCUGUUGCAAGGGCGUUGCCGUGUUGCCGCACUCUCGGACCAACGUGUUGUAAGGGGUUGCCUACUGCUGCAACCAGUGGCGGAGCCAGAAAGUAAGUAGGGGGAGUGCUGCUAAAACAAGUCAAGGAGGGCCAAACUAUUGAAAAAAAGUUUUCCAGCAGCAAAAAAUUACUAAUCAUGUCAUUGUUCAUAGCAAAUUAGCAGUAAAAUUCUGAUUUUAGGGGGGGGGGGGGCUCCUAGUCCCCGUUGUCUCCGCCACUGGCUACAACCCACUGGACCACUGCGUCCUCAUCGAAGGCAGGCUAGCGAUGCACUGGGAGCAGCGGCGCAUGCUGCAGAGAUGCUUGGUGUUGCAUACGACACCCAGACUUGUUGAGAGUCGACUAACGUCCACUACAGCGGAGCCCAGCAGACAAACUUGAUUGUUGGUGUCACGAGUCACAAAGGCGAUGUUGCAACCCCAACUAACGAUGUUGUGAUCGGUCAAUGGCGACGCGUGACCCAGUGGACGAUGCUGCGGCCGGUUCGUGACUAUGCAGCGAGCGGCUAGCCAGGAUGCAAUGGCGCUGAUUUGCAUUGAUGCUGCGAAGGCGAGACUAGGGUGUUGCAACUUUGUCCACUAGAUGCUGCAAGCGCCGCAACCGAUGAUAUUGCAUUUGCAGCAGCCAGGCGGCGGUGUGGCAAGUCAUUAGGUUGCGCAGCGGGGCAUGGGUAACGGCGUUGCAUUUUAAGCGGGGAGGAAGCUGUGAGCCGCAGGUGCUAUUGUUUGCAUGUACAAGAUCCAAUGUUUACAUUGUAGGUAAUCCUACGACUUCCAAGGCGAGCCGGAUCCGUGGCCCAUAGGUGUCAUCUCUCGGCUUUUAAUUUACCGCUUCUGUUUUAUAUCGUGUUAUUUUCGCAACUUGUUUGAAUAAAUGUACAAUAGCUGGAUUUUUCAGAAGAAAAUACGCUUUCCCUUCCAAAAUACAAGGUUUCCUAAUUUAUCAAAAAAUCAAACUUCUUAAAUUUCGAUCAAUUUUAUUGAGAAAAAUACUAAUACAUGCAACAUCAAAUCAGUACCAUUAAAUUGGUCGUGAUAUAUAUUCCAUAUUUUGAAUAUAUUGUAGAUGUUGAUAUGUUUUGCUAUAAACGUAUUGUAGACGUUGAUAUGUUUUGCUAUAAACUUAACCAAACACAGAAAAAUUGACUUCUGGAAAAACUGAUGCACAUUACAUUUUGAAUACGAGGGAAUAGUAGGAGAUUUUCGCAGACAAGAUGAUCUAAACUCACUGGUCUAUAUAUGAAAGGGGAACAACAACAGAAGAAAAGGGGAUGACUAACCAGAGACAGAUUAAGCAAACCGGGAACUAGAGAGUUCAAUUCUCGAUGCUGAGCUGACAGAGCAUUUGGCCAAAAAAGGCUGAAGCCUUGCGUGUGCAAUCUUUACAAGUCCCUACUUCUACUGCACUUGUACAUAAACCAGACAACAAUAUUUGGUUGGGUGAACAAACAGGAUGUAGGUACCUCACUUGUUGGCAUAAACAUGAUUUGAGUUGAGAAUAAUUAUAGUAGGCUGCUGCAAAUUCUGAGUUGUAUCUAUAGAAUAACUAACUAGCCCGUUCCUACUGCGAACACUAAUACAUAUCCUCUCCUGGAGACAACAGCUCCAACUGUGGCACAUCAAACUUACUAAUAGUAUGAACUAAGCAGCUGACUGACACUAGCUGCUGCAUCAUAAUGCCUUCCCUGGUGAUGCACACGGCAACAAGAAACUUUACUCAUCUGAUCAGUGAUCACAAAGCAAAUACAGGAAAUAACACAAACGCCCCGGCAGUCAUUGCCGCAUCUCAUGGGUACUCUUACCUAUCACAAGUCUGAAGAUGAUGCAACAUUGUACACUUGUUAUUCUCUUGCUGCUGUUAAUACAAGGAAACAGAAAAUAACUAUUUUUAGCUUGAUGAUUCUCAAGACUUGGAUAGAAAUAAAGACGUUCCGGAUGAUAGCUCGCUAUUUUUUUGCGUUUUAGGAAUGGAAUGUCAUUUUGGGAACCUGGGAAUUUCCUUGCUAAGAGUUUGCCGAUCAACUCGCUGUAUCUCAUUUCAGUGGUAGACUGGGAGUUGUUUCAGACUUACGUUUCACCGUAGAAUUGCAAAAUUAGUUCAGCAUGUAAACAAACAACUAUCACAAAACAUCAUCCAUACGAAAAGAUUGAUGCUGAUCAGUAUCUUUGGUACCAUCUUAUAUAGGUUUUCAUGCCAAUUUAUGGAUCUCUGCUUAUAGGAAGGAGGCGGUACUCUGCUUUGCGACUUCCAGACCAUACACAUGUCGUACACUGCUUAAAGGAUGAUGCAAGUUAAAUGACACUGCCAUCCUUUUUCACUAAAAAGACAGUUACAGUAUAUGAUACAUAAAGAUAGUAACUGCUGGUGUUACUAGCUUAUGAUACAAGACCAUGUGAGAGAACGUCGUACCCUGCCUAGGGCGACGGCUGCGUGUUUAUAUAGAGCGGGGCGCAACUUCCCGUAUAGCGUACAGAGGAGAGAUUACACGGUUAGGAUCCUUAGCUUAGAACCCAAGAGAUAGACUAGAGAGAUAGAGAUAGUUACAUGAGAUAAGAUGAAGUCACAACUACCCUAGUCUAAGGUGCGGUGUAGGAGUCCUGGUUGAACCGGACUUGUGUACGCGUCAUCUGUCGCUUAACACCCUCCCUUAAUCACAACUGUAUCAAGUUGAGAUUACGCUUGAAUUCUUCAAAAUUUCUUGUGGGCAACGCUUUUGUAAAGCCAUCUGCAACUUGGUCUCGUGAAUGAACAAAUCUGAUUUUCAAUUGCCUGUUUGCAACUCUUUCUCUGACAAAGUGGAAAUCUAUCUCAAUAUGCUUUGUUCUUGCAUGGAACACUAGGUUAGCAGAUAAGUAGGUAGCACCCAAGUUGUCACACCACAAACAUGGAACUUUGGUAUACUUCACACCAAGUUCUUUUAACAUAGACUGAACCCAGAUAAUUUCUGUUGUAGCAUUUGCUAAUGCUUUAUACUCUGCUUCAGUGCUUGACCUAGAUACAGUAGCCUGUUUCUUAGCACACCAUGAUAUCAAGUUUGGUCCAAAGAACACUGCAAAACCAUCAGUGGAUCGUCUAUCAUCCACACAUCCUGCCCAAUCAGAAUCAGAAAAUGCACUGACAAGAUUGGAUGAUGACUUGCUGAAACAGAGACCAAGCUUCAUAGUAUGUUUAACAUAUCUCACAAUGCGCUUUGCAGCAGUCCAGUGAACUGUGGUGGGUGCAUGAAGAAACUGGCAUACCUUGUUGACAGCAAAUGAUAAAUCAGGUCUAGUUAAGGUUAAAUACUGAAGAGCCCCAACUAAACUUCUGUAUCUAGUGCUAUCUUCUUGAUUCAAGAGAACUCCCUCUUCAAGUGAUAGUUUUUCUGUACUUGAGAGGGGAGUCAACGAUGGUUUGCAUCCUUGUAAACCAACUCUUCUUACCAGGUCAGCAGCAUAUUUUUCUUGAGAUAGGUGGAGGCCAUCUUCAUGUUUCUUUACCUCAAUACCUAGAAAGUAAUGCAGGUCUCCCAAAUCCUUGAGAGCAAACUCAUCAUUUAAGUCUUUUAACAGUCAUGUCACUGCUUCAUCUGAUGAACUUGUGACAAUGAUAUCAUCCACAUAAAUCAACACAAAUAUUGAUGUAUUUGACUUAUUGUAAAUAAACAGAGAUGUGUCAGACUUGGAGGGAGUAAAACCAAGUGCUUGCAAUUUCUGACUCAGACGUGAGUACCAUGCUCUGGGAGCCUGCUUUAGUCCACAUAUGGCUUUAUCAAGCUUGCACACAUAGGAAGGCUUACUCUUAUUUUCAAACCCAGGAGGCUGUUUCAUGUAUACUUCCUCUUCCAGAACGACAUGAAGGAACGCAUUCUUGACAUCCAGUUGUCUAAGAUUCCAUCCCCUGGAUACAGCAAUAGACAGCACAAGACGAAUAGUUGCAGCUUUAACAACAGGACUAAAUGUGUCCUCAUAGUCAAUGUCAUACCGUUGUUUGAAGCCUUUCGCAACCAACCUGGCCUUGUAGCGAUCUAUAGUUCCAUCUGAUUUUCUCUUUAUUCUCUAACCCACUUGCAAUCAAUUAAAUUUUUACCUUGCCGUGGGGGAACUAAACACCAUGUUCUAUUUUUCUGAAGUGCCAUGUAUUCUUCUUCCAUGGCCCUUUUUCCACUUUUCAUCACUAAGUGCCUCAUCAAGAGUGUCUGGCUCACCUGUAGAACAAGCUAGGCCAAAUUUGGUUAUUUGCUUAUAGUUAAGAGGUUUAAUUACCCCUCUUUGCAACCUUGUACGCGAAGGAACAGGAGGAGCUGCACUGUUGCCUUCCGCAGAGGAUCCAGCCUCUGGUCGAAGCGAUCCCGAGGCAGAUACUCCUGGCUCCGACGCGUUUUCUGGAGCAGCAGGAUUUUCUACGGCGCCAUCGGUCGGUGUGGUCGUGUCGGGCGGAGCAGAAGAUCCCGAGCCAUGCAUGCAGUCCGCACCAGACCCAUCAUGACACAAUGAUUGCGCGGGCCCGGCAGAAUCCGCACCGGAUCGCGCACCCGCGGCAGGACUGGCGGCAGGAUCAGCACCGGAUCCCGUGCUUGCACCAGUUUCCGCGCCUGGAGGCCCACCUGACUGGCGGCGCACGUAGUGGCGGGGUCCGCCCGCUGGCUAGCGAGGCGGAGGCUGACAUGUGUCGCCAGCUGGUUGGCGCGGAGCGGAUGGCGCGCCCGGCCCAGUUGGAGAUGCCCGCGUGGCAGUUUCUGGCUGGCUGCUGCCGCGCCCGGUGAUUGAUGCGGAGCCCGACGCGCUGACGCCCUGCUGCAGCACAGAUCCCGAGGGGGAUUCGCGGGCACGCUGCUGGGGCGCCGAUCCCGAGCCGGAUAUGUCCCCCGUUCGGUGGCACAUGAAAUAUCGCUCGCUUGGAGCGUAUUGUGCACCGUUCUGAGUGUUUCCUUCGCCAUUUUUCUCAACGUUUGCAUCUGCAUCAGUACAAGACUCAAGAGCAAGAUUAUGAGGAUUAGUCAAUAGUGGAUCAUCACAAUCAUUUCCCCCUUGAUGCACGCCGGUAAGACUAGAUGGAAGAAGAAGUAUUUCUUGACGUAGGAGAGCUCCGGCAUUGGGGUGGAGAUGUGCGAAGGGAAAUUUUGUUUCAUCAAACACUACAUCUCGGGAGAUAUAGACACGACCCGUGGGAAUGUCAAGGCACUUAACGCCCUUGUGUUGGGCACUAUAAUCGAUGAAUGCACACUGUUUAGAUCUAAGCAUAAGUUUGUGAUCAUUGUAGGGGCGAAGAUUUGGCCAACAGGCGCAUCCAAACACACGAAGUGACGUGUAGUCUGGUUUGGUGUGAAGGAGCCUUUCCAUGGGAGUUUCAUUGUUAAUCACACGACUAGGUAGCAUAUUUAUAAUGUGGACAGCAGUGAGGAAGGCCUCGUCCCAAAAUUUAAGGGGCAUGGAGGCGCCAACUAGAAGGGAAAAACCAACAUCAACAAUAUGUCGAUGCUUGCACUCGGCUGACCCAUUCUGUUGAUGAGCAUGAGGACACGAAACAUGAUGGGAUAUGCCAAGUUUCUGAAAAAAUGAGUUUAGCUUCUCAUAUUCCCCUCCCCAAUCAGAUUGGAGAGCAAGAAUUUUACUGUCAAUUUUUCUUUCUACAAUGGUUUGAAAGUUGAGAAAAACUUGGCAAACAUCCGAACGUUUCUUAAGGAGAUAGAUCCAUGUGAACUUGCUAUAGUCGUCAAUGAAACUCACAUUAUAUGUAUGUCUACCAACAGAGGAGGGGGCAGGCCCCCAGACAUCAGAAAAAAUGAGUUGUAAAGGUUUGGUAGAAAUACUUGUAGAAAUUGGAUAAGGCAAUUGGUGGCUCUUGGCCCUUUGACACGAAUCACAAAUUAUUUCAACAUCACGAUCCCCAAUAUAUGGGAGUUUAUUUUUCCUAAGCAAACGCUCAACUAAAGAGAAACUUGCAUGACCUAAUCGAUCGUGCCACCGUGUUGAAGACACUUUGGUGACACUAAGAGCUUGUUUAUUCGAUCUUCUAAUCUCUGGAAUCAACGGGUAAAGCCCACGAACACAUCUACCUCGAUACAGCACCCUCCUCGUUGCCUGAUCCUUGAUCAAAAAGAAGAAGGGGUGAAAUUCAAGAAAGACAUGAUUAUCAAUGGCAAUGCGGUGGACAGAAAGGAUAUUUUUGUUGGCACUAGGGACAUGCAAGAUGCGUUUGAGAUGAAUUUUUCUAUGAGGGGUUUUAAUAAUUGAGUGACCAAUAUGACCAAUCUUCAUACCUUCUCCACUAGCAGUGUGGAUGUGAUCUUGGCCGCGGUACUUCUCCCGCAUGGUCACCUUCUCCAGCUCACCGGUGAUGUGGUUUGUGGCACCGCUGUCGACGUACCAAUUUGUGUCGACGCCGUAGGAAGUUUCAGCAGCCCCGGCCACUUUUUCAUCUUGAGAUGAAUCUUCAUCUUCAUCAAACCGGUACCAACAGUCCUUUGCAGAGUGACCUAACUUACCGCAGAUUUGGCAGCGGACAACAUCAGGCCGAGACUUGUUGGUGGAGCCAUUAGGUCGCCGGCCGCCCUUGGUGUUGGAGUAGGAGGGUUGGCCGCCGCCGCGUGUGUUGUUGCUGCUGGUGUUGCCCCCGCCAGGACCCCUGCUCUUGCCGCGAGGAGGGCCACGAGGACGAGAGCCACCGCCACGCCCACGGGUGGCGACAUUUGCCGAAGACUUGAAGCCGCCACCGGUCCCAGCCCCUUGGAAGAGGGCCACUCGUUGAUCGAAGUUGCUCAUCUGAGCGAACAGUUCGUCAAGAGUGACCGGGAUAACACGAGCAUCAAGGGCAGAGACCAGCGGUUGAUAUUCCAUGUCCAGGGCGUUGAUGAUGUAGGAGAUGAGCUUGUCGUCGUCCAGGGGUUUGCCGGCCGCCGCGAGCUCGUCAGCGAGAGAUCGCAUGUGGGCGAAGAAGGUGGCCACGGAUUGUGUGCCCUUCUGCGCGUUGGUGAGCGCCGCCCGGAUGUUGUUGACGCGGGACAGCGAGGUCGACGAGAACAUCUUCGCCAAUGCCGACCAGAGCUCGUGUGCAUGGACGAUCGACGUGACCUGCACGAGCACUUCCUUCGAGAGGUUAUUCAGGAGAUAUCCCAGUACCUGAUGAUCCUCCCGGAUCCACACGUGGUGGAGCGGAUUUGGGAUGGACUCCUCCUUGCCAUCCUUGUCCUUGGUGACGACGACUUUGGCCGGCUCGGGUAUGCUUCCAUCAACAUACCCGAAAAAACCAGCACCUCGGAGCUGCGGCGUGAUCUGGGUGCGCCAAAGGAUGUAGUUGGUGCGGGUGAGGCGCUCGGUGAUCUGGCCGGAGAGGGUUGAGUUGGAGGAGCCGGAGGAGGCCAUGGUAGGAGGUUUGUGGCAAUGGAGGAACUAGAUGAGAUGGAAGAGGUAGGCUCUGAUUACCAUGUGAGAGAACGUCGUACCCUGCCUAGGGCGACGGCUGCGUGUUAUACAGAGCGGGGCGCAACUUCCCGUAUAGCGUACAGAGGAGAGAUUACACGGUUAGGAUCCUUAGCUUGGAACCCAAGAGAUAGACUAAAGAGAUAGAGAUAGUUACAUGAGAUAAGAUGAAAUCACAACUACCCUAGUCUAAGGUGCGGUGUAGGAGUCCUGGUUGAACCAGACUUGUGUACGCGUCAUCUGUCGCUUAACAGACCAAACAGCAAAGGAACAAGGAUUACUACCUAGACAUAACAGAUUGAAAACUACUCCCUCCAAUCCAUAUUAAUUCUCGCAAACUUGGUGCAACCUUGUACUAAAUCUGUCACAAUUAAUCUGGAUCGGAGGAAGUAGCAUCCAAGCCCAAUAGACCAGAAAAUAAACCACUAAGGAACCCCUUCAGGCGCAACAGAACAGAAAAUAAACUACUGACGAAACGCUUCAAGCACGAUAGAACAGAAAAUACAUUAUGCAACUUCAGAUUUCAAGCCUGGGCUUAGACACACACCACCUCCUUUGCAUGGUACAAUUUUGAGUCAGUCACAAAACAUUCCAUCACUAAAUGAAGUACUCCCUCUGAUCCAUAUUAAUUGAUACACACUUAGUACAACUUUAGUAGUACAAAGUUAUACUCAGUGUACGUCAAUUGAUAUGAAUCGGAGGGAGUACAUCCUUUCUUACAGCAUCAGAAGGCUGGGACAACAUUAAAGGCUAGGAAUAAAAGCUUGAGCUUUCAAAAGAAGGCAAGUCAAUGUUCAUUGUUCAAGAUGGGCAUCAACUACACCCGAGAAAGGCUUGGAGGCUUACUGGCUAGCACCACAGGUUAGUGGUCUUGGCAUCUCAAGCUCUAAUUAAGUUUGGUAUAUAGCAUCUCCUAGACCCUUCUCUAUACACUUUGAGCAUCCUCUGGAGGGCAAGUCGAAGGGGUCAUCCAUUGACAAAUCAUGGGUAUGCCUGUUGUGCGUGAAAUGGUCCUUAGAGCCACAUGUCAGUUCAAUUCGAGCAUCUCGAGAAGCUCUACCGCUGCGUCGUAGCAUAUUGAGUUUAUUAGUGCACCAUUCAUGCUGGCGGUGGUAAGGCAAUGUGAUUUUCAUUUCAUUUAGCCCUUUCGCAUUCUGAACAAAGAACUUUGCAAAGUCAACAGAUAAAUUCUUGUUGCCGUCAUAAUUCUUCAACACUACUUUUUUGAGAUGGAGCUCAAAGCAUUCCAUUGGGUCCAGUGGGUCAUACUUCCGAGCAUUAUUCAUAACCUUCAAUGAGCUCCAUGUGCCUGAGAGUGACUGGAACUGGAGACAGAGAGAACAAACAAUACAAAAGAAAUUGUCAACAAGUUAGCAUUACAAUUGUUGGCUAGAUUACACAUCCAUGAAAUGCUUGUUUUGACAUUUAAUUAAGGCAUGCAACUAUGUUCUAUACUCACAAUGACAUACAGCUUCUCCAAGCAGGGGAAGCACUUGAGGAAGUUAACCACUUCGUCAAUAUUAGGGCCAGCAGAGCAGAGAACCAAAACCCUCAUGGUGUGCAUUUUGGUUGUCAAACUGACAGCAACCAUUUUCUGCAGAACAAAGUGCAAAUAUAAGAAUAGUAGCUGCACGGUAAGAAUAUCAAAUGCAAUUGCUGAAGGCCGCUGUUACCUUAAAAAUUGUACUUCCAAGGUGGAAUUCGGAUAUGUCUUCAGAGAGCAUGCCCAGUAUCUGCAGUUUAGGUGCCCGGAUUACGCGUAUGAUCUCUGUACCACCCUUUGGAUCGAGCGGUAGCAAUCUCUCAAGGCACGGGGCGUCCUCGAUGACCAGCUCUUGCAGAAAGACACCUCCACCACUCCACCGGUCAGCGCAAAAGCCUAAACUCCUAAUGGUCUGGGAGCUGAUGCAGAGGCGACCAAUGCCCGAAUUUCUCUUCAGCUCAAGGCUUUCCAAGGCAGGGCAGCCAGAGAGCAUGCUCUGGAGGGCGUCCUCUGAGAUGGUGACGCUAGCCAGGGUCAGCUGCUCGAGGCGCGGAAACUUGAGGGACAGCUGCACAAUCAAGUCGGGGAAAUGGAAGCCGUGGAAUUUGGCCACGCGGAGCGUGGGCGAGAAGCGGUACGCCGACGAUGGCAGCAGGCACAACUUCUCCGUCUUGGCGAACAAGAGCUUGGGGGCGAGCUCGAGCUCCUCUAGGCUGUACAGCGCCCGGGAACUAAGCCAGCCUUCGAUCCUGUCGUAACAGUCGUCGAUAUGGAGGCGGAGCGAGAAGCAGCGCGCCGGUCCAUCAUGCUCGGAGAGGAUCUUCGAAACCAAGUCGAUGGUCUUGAGUUCAGAGUCCACCACGAGGUUCAGAGGAGCGGAGCGCCAGAGCGGGCGCCACCGGCGGGAGAGGACCUGCGUGCGGGCGCCUUCCUUGGUGGGGAGAAGAGACACGACGCUGCCGAGGACGGCGUCGGGGAGGCGGCUGAUGAGAUCGUCGUCGUCACCGUCGAUAAGAUGGAACUUGCGCUUCUUGAAAGCCUGAAUCGCCACCGUCGCAGCCUCCCCUGCGGCCGCCGCCGCAUCCGCUGCCUCCUUCGCAUUUAAGGCCGCAGCCGAAGCCUUCACGGCCGCCUCCGUCGCGGUCGCAGCCGCCGCCGCUGCCUCCUUCGCGGCAGCCGUUGCGGCGGCAGACGCGAGCAGCGCCGCCUCCUUGGCAGCCGCCGCCUCCACCGCAGUCGAAGCCGCCACUGCCGCCUCCUUGGCAGCAGCAGAUGCCGCGGCAGACGCGGCCAGCGCCGCCUCCUUGGCAGCCGCGACAGCAGCUGAGGCCGCCGCAUCCAUGGCUAGCGGCUUGCCCGGACGCUUUGGAAUGAUUUUUUUAGGGAUGUUUUUUUUUUAAAAGAAUUUUUUUAGGGAUGUUGGUGUAGUGGGGGAAUUGGGAACGACUAGAGUGCUGGGAAGUGGGAACCGAGACUCGAGGGUUUUUAUCACCAUCGUCGUGUUUGGCCACCGUCCAAUUAAAUCAACGGUUUGGACUCGUCUAUCUCGUGAGAGGAAAAGAAACGAAAUGGAAGAUUUCGCGCGCAACACAUGGCGUUUUCGCGCCAACUUACUCUCCUACGCGGGCGCAGCAAAGAAACCAAAGAAAAGUAGAAGAUGUUUACAUUUAAUGAUUUAAAUGAAGUUCAAUGUUGUUUUCGCGGCUUGUUGGACUCCUACCUUUAGCAUUUGCAUUUUUUUGGAAAUAAAUAGUGAUGGAAAGAGAGUUUUCAUACUUUUUUUUCCGUGUGAACAGAUCAUUUUAUAAUUUUUCUUUGAUCACAGAAGUACCCCUCUCAUGCCGCGCCUCUUAUGUGGCCCGGGGACUGAAACCCUAGUCCACAGUCGGCCCCUCCAUGCAACACCUUCGUUGUCGUCGGCUUCGGCCAUGGUGGCGGCGGUCCAUGUUCCCAAAUGGACGGGGGCUCGACGGUUGUCCUGGUGGGCUCUUAUGUGGCAAUGGUUGACCUAGGCCAUGAAGAUGAAUGGCGUGACGGUUAUGCAUGGUGAUAGAGCGACCUACAAAACGAUGUCGAGAAGAUCCGGCGGCCCUCAUUCUCACCACACCUGGCGGCGUUGUGGCUUCGCGGUCAUGGUGAAGAGAUGGUAGGCAAGGAAGGGGGAGGGUUGAUGGCACUGCAACUGGUUGUGGUUGUGGUGGCCCUGGCAUCGACAUUACAAUGCUCGGCAACAGGUGCGUUUGUUCCCCAAGGUCUCAUAGCUUGGUGCUGGCGGAGCUCGUGUCAACAUGGUUGGGAAGAGCGAUGCGACAAGAUGUGACUUCUCUACCUGAAGUCGCUGGCCUCGUUGGCAUACUCCAGUUUGCUCUAGCUCCGGCGGACUAGGGGGCAAUGGUCAUGGGCUACUUCAAGAUGGUCGAUGUUGUUGUUCCUGCCGCAUGUGGGUGCCACCCCUCUCCUUGGAGUUGUUGUCAUGACCCUGACAAUGGCUCCUUCCCCUUGUGCAUCGAGGAAACCCUAGCUCCGACUCUCAAGACCAGGGGGGCGGAGAGCCGGAGACGCCACCGCAUUGUCCCCUCCUUGGAGGUGUCGUCUAGGAUGCUCUCGUGAAGUCCCAUGGUGAUUGCUGGAGUUGAGUUUGUCCGUUGUUCAGGGUGUAGCCCUUCGGUGCACAACGUACAUCAUCGUUGGUGCUUCCUCGAUGACGCCUUCUUCAGGUACGAUCGUCCACUCGCCGACUUCUUCUAGAUGCAUGGGAGGUGGCACAUUGACUUGCUGCCAUGGACCUACAUGACAUUCUCCACCACUUCUCGACAAAGCUCUCAUCCUUUCACAUGUGGUAUUACCCCUCUCGAUCAUGAGGCUCAAAAGGGUGAACCUAUCGCUCCUUGAACAUAAAAUUGCUUGCAAGCUAGCACCCUGGGUGGGAAAGCACAUGGCGGCUCCUGGGAGGGAUGUCCUGUUGAAGGUGGUGCUCACGACUCCUGGAAGGGUUGUCCUGGCGAAGGCGGUGCUCACAGCUAUGGCCAUCUACCACCUCACCUCCUUGUCCUCAUAGUAGAGGUGAUGAAAAGGAUUGAUGCUCUAAUAAGUGCUUCCCUUUGGGAGGGUUGCGAUAAGGUGACCGGUGGUAAAUGCAUGAUUAACUGGGAGCGGGUGUGUCAACCAAAGUUCAUGGGGGUCACAGAUUUUUCACUUGAGCAAGUUUGCCACAGCCUUUCUGUUGGGCAACGUUGCAUAAAAUAAAAAAAUUCCUACGUUCACCAAGAUCAAUCUAUGAGUUCAUCUAGCAACGAGAGAGAGGGGUGCAUCUACAUACCCUUGUAGAUCGCGAGCGGAAGCGUUCAAGAGAACGGGGUUGAGGGAGUCGUACUCGUCGUGAUCCAAAUCACCGGAGAUCCUAGCGCCGAACGGACGGCACCUCCGCGUUCAACACACGUACGGUCAGCGUGACGUAUCCUCCUUCUUGAUCCAGCAAGGGGGAAGGAGAGGUUGAUGAAGAUCCAGCAGCACGACGGCGUGGUGGUGGAUGCAACAGGGAUUCGGCAGGGCUUCGCCAAGCGACUACGGGAGGGAGAGGUGUAGCAAGGGGGAAGGGAGGCGCCAGGUGUCAGGGUGCAGCUGCCCUCCCACCCCCCCUCUUUAUAUAGGGACCCCAGGGGGGCGCCGCCCCUAGGAGAUGGGAUCUCCUAGGCGGAGCGGCGGCCAAGGGGGGAGACUUGCCCCCCAAGGCAAGUGGAGGCGCCCCCUCCCCUAGGGUUCCCAACCCUAGGCACAGAGGGGGGCCCAGGGGGGCGCACCAUCCCACCAGGGGCUGGUUCCCCUCCCACUUCAGCCCAUGGGGCCCUCCGGGAUGGGUGGCCUCACCCGAUGGACCCCCGGGACCCUUCCGGUGGUCCCGGUACAAUACCGGUGACCCCCGAAACUUUCUCGAUGGCCGAAACUUGACUUCCCAUAUAUAAUUCUUUACCUCCGGACCAUUCCGGAACUCCUCGUGACGUCCGGGAUCUCAUCCGGGACUCCGAACAACUUUCAGUUUGCUGCAUACUCAUAUCUUUACAACCCUAGCGUCACCGAACCUUAAGUGUGUAGACCCUACGGGUUCGGGAGACACGUAGACAUGACCGAGACGGCUCUCCGGUCAAUAACCAACAGCGGGAUCUGGAUACCCAUGUUGGCUCCCACAUGCUCCUCGAUGAUCUCAUCGGAUGAACCACGAUGUCGAGGAUUCAAGCAACCCCGUAUACAAUUCCCUUUGUCAAUCGGUACGUUACUUGCCCGAGAUUCGAUCGUCGGUAUCCCAAUACCUCGUUCAAUCUCGUUACCGGCAAGUCACUUUACUCGUACCGUAAUGCAUGAUCCCGUGACCAGACACUUGGUCACUUUGAGCUCAUUAUGAUGAUGCAUUACCGAGUGGUCCCAGAGAUACCUCUCCAUCAUACGGAGUGACAAAUCCCAGUCUCGAUCGGUGUCAACCCAACAGACACUUUCGGAGAUACCCGUAGCAUACCUUUAUAUUCACCCAGUUACGUUGUGACGUUUGGUACACCCAAAGCACUCCUACGGUAUCCGGGAGUUACAUGAUAUCAUGGUCUAAGGAAAAGAUACUUGACAUUGGAAAAGCUCUAGCAAAUGAACUACACGAUCUUGUGCUAUGCUUAGGAUUGGGUCUUGUCCAUCACAUCAUUCUCCUAAUGAUGUGAUCCCAUUAGCAAUGACAUCUAGUGUCCAUAGUCAGGAAACCAUGACUAUCUGUUGAUCAACGAGCUAGUCAACUAGAGGCUCACUAGGGACAUGUUGUGGUCUAUGUAUUCACACGUGUAUUACGAUUUCCGGAUAAUACAAUUAUAGCAUGAAUAAAAGACAAUUAUCAUGAACAAGGAAAUAUAAUAAUAAUCCUUUUAUUAUUGCCUCUAGGGCAUAUUUCCAACAGUCUCCCACUUGCACUAGAGUCAAUAAUCUAGUUACAUUGUGAUGAAUCGAACACCCAUAGAGUUCUGGUGUUGAUCAUGUUUUGCUCGCGGAAGAUGUUUAGUCAACGGAUCUGCGACAUUCAGAUCCAUAUGUACUUUGCAAAUAUCUAUGUCUCCAUCUUGAACAUUUUCACGGAUGGAGUUGAAACGACGCUUGAUGUGCCUGGUCUUCUUGUGAAACCUGGGCUCCUUGGCAAGGGCAAUAGCUCCAGUGUUGUCACAGAAGAGAGUGAUCGGCCCCGACGCAUUGGGUAUGACUCCUAGGUCGGUGAUGAACUCCUUCAUCCAUAUUGUUUCAUGCGCUGCCUCCGAGGCUGCCAUGUACUCUGCUUCACAUGUAGAUCCCGCCACGACGCUCUGCUUGCAACUGCACCAGCUUACUGCGCAACGAUUCAACAUAUAAACGUAUCCGGUUUGUGACUUAGAGUCAUCCAGAUCUGUGUCGAAGCUAGCGUCGACGUAACCCUUUACGACGAGCUCUUCGUCACCUCCAUAGACGAGAAACAUGUCCUUUGUCCUUUUCAGGUACUUCAGGAUAUUCUUGACCGCUGUCCAGUGUUCCUUGCCGGGAUUACUUUGGUACCUUCCUACCAAACUUAUGAAGGAAAUAUGCCCUAGAGGCAAUAAUAAAGUUAUUGUUUAUUUCCUCAUAUCAUGAUAAAUGUUUAUUAUUCAUGCUAGAAUUGUAUUAACCGGAAACAUUAUACAUGUGUGAAUACAUAGACCAACAUAACGUCACUAGUAUGCCUCUACUUGACUAGCUCAUUAAUCAAAGAUGGUUAUGUUUCCUAACCAUAGACAUGUGUUGUCAUUUGAUUAAUGGGAUCACAUCAUUAGUAGAAUGAUGUGAUUGACAUGACCCAUUCCGUUAGCCUAGCACUUGAUCGUUUAGUAUAUUGCUAUUGCUUUCUUCAUGACUUAUACAUGUUCCUGUAACUAUGAGAUUAUGCAACUCCCGUUUACCGGAGGAACACUUUGGGUGCUACCAAACGUCACAACGUAACUGGGUGAUUAUAAAGGAGUACUACAGGUGUCUCCAAAGGUACAUGUUGGGUUGGCGUAUUUCGAGAUUAGGUUUUGUCACUCCGAUUGUCGGAGAGGUAUCUCUGGGCCCUCUCGAUAAUGCACGUCACUAUAAGCCUUGCAAGCAAUGUAGCUAAUGAGUUAGUUGCGGGAUGAUGUAUUACGAAACGAGUAAAGAGACUUGCCGGUAACGAGAUUGAACUAGGUAUUGGAUACCGAUGAUCGAAUCUCGGGCAAGUAACAUACCGAUGACAAAGGGAACAACGUAUGUUGUUAUGCGGUUUGACAGAUAAAGAUCUUCGUAGAAUAUGUAGGAGCCAAUAUGAGCAUCCAGGUUCCGCUAUUGGUUAUUGACCGAGAAUAGUUCUAGGUCAUGUCUACAUAGUUCUCGAACCCGUAGGGUCGGCACGCUUAACGUUACGAUGACAGUUUUAUUAUGAGUUUAUAAGUUUUGAUGUACCGAAGUUUGUUCGGAGUCCCGGAUGUGAUCACGGACAUGACGAGGAGUCUCCAAAUGGUCGAGACAUAAAGAUUGAUAUAUUGGAAGCCUAUGUUUGGACAUCGGAAGUGUUCCGGGUGAAAUCGGCAUUUUACCGGAGUACCGGGAGGUUACCGGAACCCCCCGGUGACCUAAUGGGCCUUAGUGGGCCUAGUGGAGGAAGAGGAGAAGGGGCCAAGGGGCAGCCGCGCGCCCCUCCCCCCCAAGUCCGAGUAGGACAAGGAGGGGGGGGGGCGGCGCCCCCCCUUUCCUUUCCCCCCUCUCCUCCUUCCCCCCAAGUCCUAGUCCAACUAGGGAAGGGGGGGAGUCCUACUCCCGGUGGGAGUAGGACUCCUCCUGCGCGCCUCCUCCUAGGGCCGGCUGCACCCCCCGUUGCUCCUUUAUAUACAGGGGCAGGGGGGCACCCUAGACACACAAGUUGAUCUACGGAUCGUUCCUUAGCCGUGUGCGGUGCCCCCCUCCACCAUAUUCCACCUCGGUCAUAUCGUCGCGGAGUUUAGGCGAAGCCCUGCACCGAUAGAGCAUCAUAAUCGUCACCACGCUUUCGUGCUGACGGAACUCAUCCCCGACACUUUGCUCGAUCGGAGUCCAGGGAUCGUCAUCGAGCUGAACGUGUGCUGAACUCGGAGGUGUCAUACGUUCGGUACUUGGAUCGGUCGGAUCGUGAAGACAUACGACUACAUCAACCGUGUUAUCAUAACGCUUCCGCUUAUGGUCUACGAGGGUACGUGGACAACACUCUCCCCUCUCGUUGCUAUGCCAUCACCAUGAUCUUGCGUGUACAUAGGAAAAUUUUGAAAUUACUACGUUUCCCAACAACUUACGGCGAGGUUUACAUCAGGUCUGGUACAUAGCAUGGCAUACAUAAUAGAUCCUAUGGCUGAGGCAUAGGGGAUGACACUCAUCUCUUCUUUAUCUUCUGCCGUGGUCGGGCAUUGAGCCGAGCUCAAUCUCACACCUUGCAAUACAGGCAAGAACGAUUUCUUGGACUGAUCCAUAUUGAACUUCUUCAAUAUCUUAUCAAGGUAUGUGCUUUGUGAAAGACCUAUGAGGCGUCUCGAUCUAUCCCUAUAGAUCUUGAUGCCUAAUAUGUAAGCAGCUUCUCCAAGGUCCUUCGUUGAAAAACACUUAUUCAAGUAGGCCUUAAUGAUGUCCAAAAGUUCUAUAUCAUUUCCCAUCAAAAGUAUGUCAUCUACAUAUAAUAUGAGAAAUGCUACAGAGCUCCUACUCACUUUCUUGUAAACGCAGGCUUCUCCAUAAGUCUGCAUAAACCCAAACGCUUUGAUCAUCUCAACAAAGCGAAUGUUCCAACUCCGAGAUGCUUGCACCAGCCCAUAAAUGGAUCGCUGGAGCUUGCAUACCUUGUUAGCAUUCUUAGGAUCGACAAAACCUUCCGGCUGCAUCAUAUACAGCUCUUCCUUAAGAUAGCCGUUAAGGAAUGCCGUUUUGACGUCCAUCUGCCAUAUCUCAUAAUCAUAGUAUGCGGCAAUUGCUAACAUGAUUCGGACGGACUUUAGCUUCGCUACGGGAGAGAAAGUCCCAUCGUAGCCAACCCCUUGAACUUGCCGAUAACCCUUAGCGACAAGUCGAGCUUUAUAGAUGGUAACAUUACCAUCCGCGUCCUUCUUCUUCUUAAAGAUCCAUUUGUUUUCUAUCGCUCGCCGAUCAUCGGGCAAGUCAGUCAAAGUCCAUACUUUGUUUUCAUACAUGGAUUCUAUUUCGGAUUGCAUGGCUUCAAGCCAUUUGUUGGAAUCUGGGCCCGCCAUCGCUUCUUCAUAGUUCGAAGGUUCACCGUUGUCUAACAACAUGAUUUCCAGGACAGGGUUACCAUACCACUCUCGUGUGGAACGUGUCCUUGUGGACCUACGAAGUUCAGUAGCAACUUGAUCUGAAGUAUCUUGAUCAUCAUCAUUAAUUUCCUCUCCAGUCGGUGUAGGCACCACGGGAACAUUUUCCUGAGCUGCACUACUUUCCGGUUCAAGAGGUAGUACUUCAUCGAGUUCUACUUUCCUCCCACUUACUCCUUUCGAGAGAAACUCUUUUUCCAGAAAGGAUCCGUUCUUGGCAACAAAGAUCUUGCCUUUGGAUCUAAGGUAGAAGGUAUACCCAAUGGUUUCCUUGGGGUAUCCUAUGAAUACGCAUUUUUCCGACUUGGGUUCGAGCUUUUCAGGUUGAAGUUUCUUGACAUAAGCAUCGCAUCCCCAAACUUUUAGAAACAACAGCUUAGGUUUCUUCCCAAACCAUAAUUCAUACGGUGUCGUCUCAACGGAUUUAGACGGUGCCCUAUUUAAAGUGAAUGUAGUUGUCUCUAGAGCGUAUCCCCAAAAUGAUAGCGGUAAAUCGGUAAGAAACAUCAUAGAUCGCACCAUAUCCAAUAGAGUGCGAUUACGAUGUUCGGACACACCGUUACGCUGAGGUGUUCCAGGCGGCGUGAGUUGUGAAAUGAUUCCACAUUUCCUUAAGUGCGUACCAAAUUCGUGACUUAAAUAUUCUCAUCCACGAUCUGAUCGUAAGAACUUUAUCUUUCGGUCACGUUGAUUCUCUACCUCAUUCUGAAAUUCCUUGAACUUUUCUGAUGUAGACCGAACCUCACGGCGAGAUCCGACCUGUUGUUGAGGCCUGACCUUUCACGACACUCCACCACCAGCAGUAGCAACCUCUCACCCGUGCACGCUAUGUACACGAAGUAGAGGGUUUGAACCUUGCGGCCCAGCAUGAGAAAACGAAUCUCGAUGAAGGUACUCACGCGCAAAACAAUUUCCACAAAGAGAAAUCGCAACACAGAGGUUUUCUAAAGAUCCCUCUAAAACUUGAUACGGGUGUCUACCCAUGAAAACACAUCGUGUCUAUUUUAUAAAAUAACCUGUCUUUUACAACGGUGCACCUAGCUUUAUAUAUUAGCCGGCCUCCUAUAACUUGGUUGUUAAGUAACCAAACUCACGCAUAGAAUGAAAAGGAAAACAAUCGGUUGAAAGAAAUCUGGACUCUGCUAAAACUAAAAACAUACUUGCCUUUUACAUCUCGGCAAUUUAUUUACUUCUAUCUCUAUCUCUAUAACUAACAAACCGAUUGUCUCCAUAGAAUUGGGUGCGCCAUAUUUUCUGCUUGCAUGGUAGGUGGGACCCAGCCAAUUUCCUUCAAGGUUAAUAGACUCCAUGCAUCCCAUGUUCUGCAUGCACCUUUCACGAACAUCUCUUUGCGUGGCAAGAACAGAAAUAGGAAAUCUGCACCCUUUCCCUUAACUCCUUGAUCAUCUAAUAAAAAAUAGGAAUCUCCUAGUACAUCAAUAGCGUGCAAACUGAGCCCUCCAAAAUAGUAUUUGUACGUGUGGGAGUCUUGUGAUUUCUUUCUCUGGCUAACUGACAAGCAUACAUCCAACUGAUCCUUCUUUCCUUGAUUUGAACCUGAGCCAUGCAAGGGAUAAACAAGCAUGCACGUAUCUUCAGCUAGAGUUGCAACCUCCUCCUCGUAGUUCUCAUCAAAUCUAAUGUAUUUUGCUACGUAAACAUCUCUGGCCUCUAAACCAUUGACAUGUGGAAAAGUUUCAAGAACAUUGAGAACACUCACAUUCGCCCUGGUCGUAUCAUCCUCUCCCCCUUGAAACGAAACCGUCCUCGGUUUUGACUCGAUCUCUGCAGCAAUAUUUUGAUGUAUGGAUUGAGCAACGACCACACAAUUUUCAGUAGAUUCGACCAUAUCAUUUUUAGCAUCUUCUUCUUUUACCUUCUUCUGAUGUUCUCUCCUCCAAGCAAUAAAACGAUCCCGACCCAUAGGCACGAGGUCGUACUUCUUACCCAUCUUGACGGUAUAUACGUGUGUUUGACAAUCAUAUGAAACAUCAUGUUCUUUCUACCAUGGCUUGCCCAACAAUAAGUGACAUGAAACCAUCGGAGCAGGAAUCACGUCACACAAAACCGUGCAAUAAUAUUUUCCCAACAAAAACGAUACCUUGGUUUGAUGUGUAACACUGAGCUCUUCAUGACCCCAACGGAAUGAGUAUGGUUGUGGGCGUUGUGUCAUUGGCGGUUCCAACUUCUCCACCAUCUCGAUGCUUGUCCCGUUGAUCAAACUCGUGUGGUCGAUUGUCAUAGCAGAUGAUCUCUCUUGUACCACAACACGAGUAUGAAAAAGUCCAUCCCAUCGGCCUUCCUCCUCCAACUGAAAUCCAUAGCUUAGCUUCAAUGAUAAUCCAGUCAUCUUCCGCACAGUGCCGUGAACAACCUUGCUUUGAUACCACCUGAUGUAGACCGAACCUCACGGCGAGAUCCGACCUGUUGUUGAGGCCCGACCUUUCACGACACUCCACCACCAGCAGUAGCAACCUCUCGCAUGCGCACGCGAUGUACACGAAGUAGAGGGUUUGAACCUUGCGGCCCAGCACGAGAAAACCAAUCUCGACAAAGGUACUCACGCGCAAAACAAUUUCCACAAAGAGAAAUCGCAACACAGAGGUUUUCUAAAGAUCCCUCUAAAACUUGAUACGGGUGUUUACCCGUGAAAACACAUCGUGUCUAUUUUAUAAAAUAACAUGUCUUUUACAACGGUGCACCUAGCUUUAUAUAUUAGCCGGCCUCCUAUAACUUGGUUGUUAAGUAACCAAACUCACGCAUAGAAUAAAAAGGAAAGCAAUCAGUUGAAAGAAAUCUGGACUCUGCUAAAACUAAAAACAUACUUGCCUUUUACAUCUCGGCAAUUUAUUUACUUCUAUCUCUAUCUCUAUAACUAACAAACCGAUUGUCUCCAUAGAAUUGGGGGCGCCAUAUUUUCUGCUUGCAUGGUAGGUGGGACCCAGCCAAUUUCCUUCAAGGUUAAUAGACUCCAUGCAUCCCAUGUUCUGCAUGCACCUUUCACGAACAUCUCUUUGCGUGGCAAGAACAGAAAUAGGAAAUCUGCACCCUUUCCCUUAACUCCUUGAUCAUCUAAUAAAAAAUAGGAAUCUCCUAGUACAUCAAUAGCGUGCAAACUGAGCCCUCCAAAAUAGUAUUUGUACGUGUGGGAGUCUUGUGAUUUCUUUCUCUGGCUAACUGACAAGCAUACAUCCAGCUGAUCCUUCUUUCCUUGAUUUGAACCUGAGCCAUGCAAGGGAUAAACAAGCAUGCACGUAUCUUCAGCUAGAGUUGCAACCUCCUCCUCGUAGUUCUCAUCAAAUCUUGUAUUUUGCUACGUAAACAUCUCUGGCCUCUAAACCAUUGACAUGUGGAAAACUUUCAACAACAUUGAGAACACUCACAUUCGCCCUGGUCGUAUCAUCCUCUCCCCCUUGAAACGAAACCGUCCUCGGUUUUGACUCGAUCUCUGCAGCAAUAUUUUGAUGUAUGGAUUGAGCAACGACCACACAAUUUUCAGUAGAUUCGACCAUAUCAUUUUUAGCAUCUUCUUCUUUUACCUUCUUCUGAUGUUCUCUCCUCCAAGCAAUAAAACGAUCCCGACCCAUAGGCACGAGGUCGUACUUCUUACCCAUCUUGACGGUAUAUACGUGUGUUUGACAAUCAUAUGAAACAUCAUGUUCUUUCUACCAUGGCUUGCCCAACAAUAAGUGACAUGAAACCAUCGGAGCAGGAAUCACGUCACACAAAACCGUGCAAUAAUAUUUUCCCAACAAAAACGAUACCUUGGUUUGAUGUGUAACACUGAGCUCUUCAUGACCCCAACGGAAUGAGUAUGGUUGUGGGCGUUGUGUCAUUGGCGGUUCCAACUUCUCCACCAUCUCGAUGCUUGUCCCGUUGAUCAAACUCGUGUGGUCGAUUGUCAUAGCAGAUGAUCUCUCUUGUACCACAACACGAGUAUGAAAAAGUCCAUCCCAUCGGCCUUCCUCCUCCAACUGAAAUCCAUAGCUUAGCUUCAAUGAUAAUCCAGUCAUCUUCCGCACAGUGCCGUGAACAACCUUGCUUUGAUACCACCUGAUGUAGACCGAACCUCACGGCGAGAUCCGACCUGUUGUUGAGGCCCGACCUUUCACGACACUCCACCACCAGCAGUAGCAACCUCUCGCAUGCGCACGCGAUGUACACGAAGUAGAGGGUUUGAACCUUGCGGCCCAGCACGAGAAAACCAAUCUCGACAAAGGUACUCACGCGCAAAACAAUUUCCACAAAGAGAAAUCGCAACACAGAGGUUUUCUAAAGAUCCCUCUAAAACUUGAUACGGGUGUUUACCCGUGAAAACACAUCGUGUCUAUUUUAUAAAAUAACAUGUCUUUUACAACGGUGCACCUAGCUUUAUAUAUUAGCCGGCCUCCUAUAACUUGGUUGUUAAGUAACCAAACUCACGCAUAGAAUAAAAAGGAAAGCAAUCAGUUGAAAGAAAUCUGGACUCUGCUAAAACUAAAAACAUACUUGCCUUUUACAUCUCGGCAAUUUAUUUACUUCUAUCUCUAUCUCUAUAACUAACAAACCGAUUGUCUCCAUAGAAUUGGGGGCGCCAUAUUUUCUGCUUGCAUGGUAGGUGGGACCCAGCCAAUUUCCUUCAAGGUUAAUAGACUCCAUGCAUCCCAUGUUCUGCAUGCACCUUUCACGAACAUCUCUUUGCGUGGCAAGAACAGAAAUAGGAAAUCUGCACCCUUUCCCUUAACUCCUUGAUCAUCUAAUAAAAAAUAGGAAUCUCCUAGUACAUCAAUAGCGUGCAAACUGAGCCCUCCAAAAUAGUAUUUGUACGUGUGGGAGUCUUGUGAUUUCUUUCUCUGGCUAACUGACAAGCAUACAUCCAGCUGAUCCUUCUUUCCUUGAUUUGAACCUGAGCCAUGCAAGGGAUAAACAAGCAUGCACGUAUCUUCAGCUAGAGUUGCAACCUCCUCCUCGUAGUUCUCAUCAAAUCUUGUAUUUUGCUACGUAAACAUCUCUGGCCUCUAAACCAUUGACAUGUGGAAAACUUUCAACAACAUUGAGAACACUCACAUUCGCCCUGGUCGUAUCAUUUUCAAAGGUCUAAGACUUGUGUUUCAUCAAGUAGACAUACCCAUAUCUACUUAAGUCAUCAGUGAGAGUGAGAACAUAACGAUAUCCUCUGCGAGCCUCAACGCUCAUUGGACCACACACAUCAGUAUGUAUGAUUUCCAAUAAGUUGGUUGCUCGCUCCAUUGUUCCGGAGAACGGAGUCUUGGUCAUUUUUCCCAUGAGGCAUGGUUCACAUGUGUCAAAUGAUUCAUAAUCGAGAGACUCUAAAAGUCCAUCAGCAUGGAGCUUCUUCAUGCGCUUGACACCAAUGUGACCAAGGCGGCAGUGCCACAACUAUGUGGGACUAUCGUUAUCAACUUUACAUCUUUUGGUAUUCACACUAUGAAUAUGUGUAACAUUACGUUCAAGAUUCAUUAAGAAUAAACCAUUGACCAUCGGGGCAUGACCAUAAAACAUAUCUCUCGUAUAAAUAGAAUAACCAUUAUUCUCAAAUUUAAAUGAGUAGCCAUCUCGUAUUAAACGAGAUCCAGAUAGAAUGUUCAUGCUCAAACUUGGCACUAAAUAACAAUUAUUGAGGUUUAAAACUAAUCCCGUGGGUAAAUGUAUAGGUAGCGUGCCGACGGCGAUCACAUCAACCUUGGAACCAUUCCCGACGUGCAUCGUCACCUAGUCCUUCGCCAGUCUCCGCUUAUUCCGCAGCUCCUGCUGUGAGUUACAAAUAUGAGCAACGGCACCGGUAUCAAAUACCCAGGAGUUACGACGAGUACUGGUAAGGUACACAUCAAUUACAUGUAUAUCACAUAUACCUUUAGUGUUGCCGGCCUUCUUGUCCGCUAAGUAUUUGGGGCAGUUCCGCUUCCAGUGACCCUUCCCUUUGCAAUAAAAGCACUCAGUCUCAGGCUUGGGUCCAUUCUUUGACUUCUUCCUGGCAACUGGCUUACCGGACGCGGCAACAUCCUUGUCGUCCUUCUUGAAGUUCUUCUUACCCUUGCCCUUCUUGAACUUGGUGGUUUUAUUGACCAUCAACACUUGAUGUUCCUUCUUGAUUUCUACCUCUGCUGACUUCAGCAUUGAAAAUACUUCAGGAAUAGUUUUCACCAUCCCCUGCAUAUUGUAGUUCAUCAAAAAGCUCUUGUAGCUCGGUGGGAACGAUUGAAGGAUUCUGUCAAUGACCGCCUCGUCCGGGAGGUUAAUGUCUAGCUGGGACAGGCGGUUGUGCAACCCAGACAUUUUGAGUAUGUGCUCACUAACAGAACUAUUUUCCUCCAUCUUACAACUAUAGAACAUGUCGGAGACUUCAUAUCUCUCGACCCAGGCAUGAGCUUGGAAAACCAUUUUCAGCUCCUCGAACAUCUCAUAUGCUCCGUGUUGCUCAAAACGCUUUUGGAGCCCCGGUUCUAAGUUGUAAAGCAUGCCGCACUGAACGAGGGAGUAAUCAUCAGCACGUGACUGCCAAGCGUUCAUAACGUCUUGGUUCUCUGGGAUGGGUGCUUCACCUAGCGGUCCUUCUAGGACAUAUGCUUUCUUGGCAGCUAUGAGGAUGAUCCUCAGGUUCCGGACCCAGUCCAUAUAGUUGCUGCCAUCAUCUUUCAGCUUGGUUUUCUCUAGGAACGCGUUGAAGUUCAUGUUGACAUGAGUGUUGGCCAUUUGAUCUACAAGACAUUUUUGCAAAGAUUUUAGACUAAGUUCAUGAUAAUUAAGUUCAUCUAAUCAAAUUAUUUAAUGAACUCCCACUCAGAUUAGACAUCCCUCUAGUCAUCUAAGUGUUACACGAUCUGAGUCGACUAGGCCGUGUCCGAUCAUCACGUGAGACGGACUAGUCAUCAUCGGUGAACAUCUCCAUGUUGAUCGUAUCUUCCAUACGACUCAUGUUCGACCUUUCGGUCUCUGUGUUCCGAGGCCAUGUCUGUACAUGCUAGGCUCGUCAAGUUAACCUAAGUGUUUUGCAUGUGUAAAACUGUCUUACACCCGUUGUAUGUGAACGUAGGAAUCUAUCACACCCGAUCAUCACGUGGUGCUUUGAAACGACGAACUUUAGCAACGGCGCACAUUUAGGGGGAACACUUUCUUGAAAUUAUUAUGAGGGAUCAUCUUAUUUACUAUCAUUGUUCUAAGUAAACAAGAUGCAUAAACAUAAUGUCAGGACCCCGACUCAGUGUCACAUCGAUCUAGCCUGUAACACCUCAUAUCACUUUGCGGCCUCACGCACGGUAUUCCCACGGGUGUCGCCUCAUCUUUGCCCGGGACCGUUUGCGCCUUUUGGCUCACGUAUAUGAUGAUGUCGCUAGCAUCCAUAUGAUAAGGAGCCCGGGCUGACAUGACUAGUCGUAAACCCAAAGUGGCACAGACUUACAGGGACAGGCAUCCAUGACCCAGCAUCAAACGUGUCGGUCAUUAGCAAGUGGGUCCGGGCUGUAGCACUGGGCUAGCAGGACUCCGGUAAACCGGGCUGUAGCGGGCUAACAGGGCUCCGGUACUCAAUGCGUGACAUUUCCCCGAAGGGACAGACACAGGAACGAAGAAGGACACAUGCCGGCCAGCCUAAGUGUUCCGGAGCAGUAGCAUGCUACCAUGGCUCAAUGGAAACACUAGGAGACAUUUCCCGGUAAGAGAGGCUACUAAAGAUAAACAACUAGAUAGUCAGAUCCCACACAUACCAAGCAUUUCAAUCAUACACACAAUAUGCUCGAUAUGUGCAAAUACAACAAGGCAUCACAACAUGACUCUACGACACAAGUACUUUAUUUAAAGGCUCAGAGAGCCAUACAUAACAUACAUACAAGUACGGGUCACACGACCCACAUUCAAGUCAUACAGUCAUACAAACCAGCAGCGGAAGUAAUUUGUCUGAGUACAGACAACUAGUAAAAUAAAAGAGGCUUGGAAAGCCUAGCUAUACUACAUGGUCCUUCACGUGCUCAGGAUCACCACCUGGGCCUUAGUCUACUCGUCGAUGUCAACGUCUACGAAGAACCCGUCAGAAGGGGUUGCAGCGUCUUCUGUAAAAUGUAAAUUAUAGCAACAUGAGUACAAAGGUACCCAGCAAGACUUACGUCAGAUCCUACAUACAUGCACAUUAUCAAGAAGGGUUGGUGGAGUUAUUGCAGCAAGACGGCUUUGACUCUUGGCUAAACUAUCCUACGAGACUCCAACUUGAAAUGGUUUUGCGCACACGAGUCCACUACUCACCACUUCAAUACACAACCGAGAAUCCACCUCUGUCUUCCUACGGAGGGGCCAUCCUCGGCACUCACGCUUAUCUUGAAGCUUUUAGUAGUUUCCAGUUUACUUGUCUAUGAACUGUAUAGGCAACCAAGUAGUCCUUCACCGCGGACGCGGCUAUUCGAAUAGAUCAUGUUAACCCUGCAGGGGUGUACUUCUUCAUACACGCUCUCACCACUUACCGCCGUUUACACGACAUGUACUCGGCAACCUUCAAGCGGAAGCCCAAUGUGGGUGUCGGCCACGACCUACCUAAUCACCUAAGCCUCCAAUCCAGGUUUAUCGCCUAUCCAGGUUCCAUCCGCAGGGAGUCCGGCCGAGGUUUCCCAUACGGCCCCGAACGAUGUGUACAGGGUUCUUGAGAUACCUAACGGGUAUUCGAUACACCGUGCCACGUACCUACCGCAUCACAGCCCACCCCUACGGUCAGCGCUGCCCACGGCCUCCAGUAGGCUACAAACACCAGAAACUACUUGCAACUCCUGGACAGAGAACUAGGGUGAAUAAGAAGCCGAGAGGGUCCAUUGGUUUCGGGCCCAAUGCAUGGUAGUAGCUGAUUCUUAGAUCACACAUACAGAUCUCAGUGCUUAAGGUCGACUUCAAUGAAACAACCCACCAUGUACUCCUACAUGGCCUCUCAUCGAUACCUUUACCAAAUCGUGUUCACCACAUCACUCUCAAUACCGGCAUAAUCAUUUCACUCUAGCCCAUCACCCAGAUGAACCAGACCUGACACGACUCUACGCAUAGCAGGCAUGGCAAGGUAGGAACAACACAUACAUAUGGCUCAAACAACUCCUACACAUGCUAGUGGGUUUCAUCUAGUUACUGUGGCAAUGACAGGUCAUGCAGAGGAAAUGGGUUCAACUACCGUAGCACAGAGCAGUUUGAAACGCGUUGUCUUAAUGCAGUAAAAGAGAGCAAGAGCGAGAACAUGGGAUUGUAUCGAUAUGAUCAAAUGGUUGGUUGCUUGCCUGAUGGAUCGAUGCACGGAUACGAUUCUUCGCUAGGGUAAUCACGGUACUCCUCGGAGGCAGAACCUGCCACAAAGAACACCGAUACACAACCAUCACCAAACAAUGUGCGACAAUAUGAUGCAUGCAUGAAACAUGGCAAUAUGAGUGUGUUGGGCUAAUGCAACUAAAACCAGAUGGGUUUGAAUCAAUUUGAACCAAAGAUUCAAAUUUCAAACUCAUAAAUGGCCCUUUAAAGUGUUUUAUCUUGUUCUGCACUAAACAGCAAGUUAACUUGUUUAAACAUGCAUGAAAACAGUACAGAUGGAUAGAUUGGAUUUUUCUGAUCAUUUUUCAUAUAUAACUUGUUUGAUUUGGAGUUACAGAUUAAAAGUUAUGAAUUUUUGAAGUUUAAACUAUAUUCUGGAAUUUCCUAUAUUAGAAUAAAUCCAGAAAUUAAUUUAUUGCGUCAGCCAUGCGUCAGAAUGACGUCAGGGUCAACGGAGACGUCCAGGUCAAAUCUGACUGUGGGUCCAGGGUGUCAGGGUAAUUAGUUUAAUUAAAGUUUAAUUAAAACUAAACCUAUUUAGUUAACGGGGCUGGGCCCCACCUGUCAUUGACUCAUCGGAGUCAACCAGGGCCCACCGUGGUCGAAGUCAACGUCGGCUGCACCGGCGUCUAGCCGCCGGCGAGCCCAACGCGGCGGCGGAAGUGAGUUUGGCCGUUUCGGCAACCAAACGAGCCGCGGAGGGUGGCUAUGAAUAGUUGGGAACAUGCCGCAGCUUCUGGUGGAGUCGGUUGGGGUCGGGGCGGCCGGAAUCGGCGCCGGCGACGACCUAGGCGGCCGCCGGAGUUCGGCCGAAGGCGAACUUGAGGCUAGAGGGGUCGGUGAGGUGCGGGGAGUAGUUGGUUAGGUGCUACGUGACGUGGUGAGCACGAUGGACACCAAGUGGUGGCCGGAGGGUGACCGGGAGCACGUCGACAACGAGCUCCGUGGCGGUGGGUGCGGUUGAGCUCCGGGAGGUCACUACACAGCUCGGGGGCAAGAAAGGAAGGGAGGGGAAGAUGGUUAAGCUCACAGGGAACUCGACGAAACACUUGGUGCAGCCGGGGACGGGCCGGAGCGACGACGGUGUUGAAGGGGAUCUCCGGCGACGGCGGUUUGGUCGAGGUCGGUGCGAUGGACUCGGGCCUUGCGAGCGCUCGGGGCUCGGCUUGCUCGAAGGAGAGGAGGGUGGCGGAGCUCCUGGACACGGCGGCACGGCGUGGGGUUGACGGAGGGCGUGGCUACGGCGAGGGGGUGGCGGCGAUGGCGUCGGCCAUGGCGUGGGAGAGCGAGGGAGAGGAGUUGGGGGGGGGAAUGGAGGUGUCCUGGGGGUUCACGGCUCGACGUGGAGUUCAUCCAAGCCAGCAACGAGGCGAGGAGGUGAAGCAGGGCGACGGCCAGCUGCGUGGCGCACGCUGCGGCCGCCGUUGGGCACCUGCCUGCCUGCCUGGCCGGCAAGCAGCUCGCUGGCGCGGCGCUGGGCUGGGCCGGCAGGUGGGCCGGUUAGCGGCGCCAGGUAAGUUUUCUGUUAUUUCCCUUUUCUAUUUUUCUGCAACUUUGUGGAGUUUUUAAAAAUACUUAAAUGGCUCCAAAAAUCACCAAACUGCUCCUGGUCCAUAGUUGGAUUAUUUCCAACAUGAAACAUUUCUGUUUGGGAAUAUUUGGGCAUUUGCAAUAUUUUAUAUAAUUUGAACUGCUCAAAUUCAAAUACUAAUGAAUUAAUUCAAAGACCUUAGGAUGACCUAGAAAAUGGUGCACCACUUUUGGCAGAGGCUCUGAACCAAAACAAAGGUGAUGAGCAUUUUUAAGGGCCUUUCAGGUUCAUUGAAAUAAUUUUUAGUAAACCCUAGUUGGAUUAAAAGGGAUUCUGGGGGUUUCUGUCCUUCCCCAUUUCAAAUUCAAAUGAUAUUUAAACAUGAUGCACACACUAAUGCAGGGACUAGCUAGGAUGUGACAACUCACCCCCACUCAUAAGAAUCUCGUCCCGAGAUUUGGGUUCCUCCGGGAAGAAGGCGGGAUACUCGAGUCGAAGACGAUCCUCCCUUUCCCAAGUUGCUUCAUUCUCAGAAUGGUGCGACCAUUGAACCUUGAGAAACUUGAUAUUAUGACGUCGAGUGGUACGCUCAGCUUGAUCGAGGAUACGAACGGGGUACUCUCGAUACGUGAGAUUAUCUUGGAGAUCAAGCGUUUCGUGGUCCACUCCAUGGAUAGGAUCCGAGAAGCAACGCCUGAGUUGAGAAAUGUGGAAGACAUCGUGGACUCUGGAGAGAUGCGGAGGUAGUUCCAAUUGGUAGGCAACUUCUCCUUGUUUUGCGAGAAUGCGAAAGGGUCCAAUGUAACGAGGAGCCAAUUUGCCCUUGAUACCGAAGCGAUGGGUUCCCUUCAGAGGAGUAACCCGAAGGUAAGCCUUCUCGUCAACCUCAAAAGUCAUAGCCUUAUGUUUUCGGUCAUAUUGACUCUUUUGACGAGAUUGGGCUGUUUUCAACUUCUCACGAACUAUGCGAACUUGCUCUUCUGCUUCCUGAAUCAUAUCCGGGCCAAAGAAUUGUCUUUCCCCGGUUUCUGACCAGUUAAGAGGCGUUCGACACCUUCAUCCAUAGAGAACUUCAAAAGGGGCUUUGCCCAAGCUGGAUUGAUAGCUGUUGUUAUAAGCAAAUUCGGCAAAUGGAAGGCAUUUCUCCCACUCCAUUCCGAAUGAGAUAACAGAAGCUCGAAGCAUGUCUUCUAGAAUCUGGUUGACGCGUUCCACUUGACCACUUGAUUGAGGGUGGAAAGCGGUACUAAAAGAAAGGCGGGUUCCCAUAGCAUUUUGGAAACUUUCCCAAAAUCAAGAGGUGAAAAGACUUCCUCGAUCCGAGUUGAUUUCCAAAGGAACACCAUGGAGAGACACUAUUCGGGAGAUGUAUAAGUCUGCCAAUUGACUAGCGGUUAUAUUCUCGCGAACAGGUAGGAAAUGGGCUACUUUGGAAAGACGAUCGAUAACGACAAAGAUAGCAUUAUUCCCUCUCUUGGUCCUGGGAAAACCGGUAAUGAAGUCCAUACCAAUUUUAUCCCAUUUCCAUUCAGGAAUAGCUAGGGGUUGAAGGGUGCCAGCAGGCCGUUGAUGCUCUGCUUUUACACGACGGCAGACGUCGCAAUUAGCAAUAUACUGAGCAAUUUCUCUCUUCAUCCUAGUCCACCAGAACCUCUGGCGUAGGUCCUGAUACAUCUUAGUGCUACCGGGAUGAAUAGUGAGAGGAGAUUCAUGAGCUUCCUUAAGGAUCAAUCACCUCAGGUUUCGCACCUUGGGGACCACUAGCCGAUUCCCGAAGUAUACGACUCCUUGAUCAUCGAUGGAGAAACAAUUCGCAACUCCUUUCUUGAUGUUUCUCUUAAUGCAGGAAAUUCCCGGAUCUACUUUCUGUGCUUUGAUGAUCUGAUCCGUAAGGGUAGGUUUCGCCACCAAGGUGGAAAGAAAUCCUUGAGGAACAAUGUGAAGGUUAAGCUUCCGAAAUUCCUCAUGGAGAAGCGGUUGACUUUGUUGUAACAUCAGGUUGUUAAAAUAAGAUUUACGACUUAGCGCAUCAGCCAUGACGUUGGUCUUCCCUGGGGUGUAAGUUAUUCCUAAGUCGAAAUCUGUGAUCAACUCAACCCAACGUCUUUGCCUGAGAUUUAAAUCCGGUUGGGUGAAUAUGUACUUCAGACUUUGAUGAUCAGUGUAGAUUUCGCAACGAUUACCGAGAAGGUAAUGUCGCCAUGUUUUGAGUGCAUGGACUACAGCUGCAAGCUCUAGAUCAUGAGUAGGAUAAUUCUCCUCAUGUGGGUGCAAUUGCCAUGAGGCAUAAGCAAUUACGUGUCGAUCUUGCAUGAGAAUACAACCUAGUCCUUGUCGCGAGGCGUCGCAGUAGAUAACAAAGUCCUUAGAGAAAUCUGGCGGUACCAAUACGGGAGCAGAGGUUAAACGCCUUUUCAGUUCCUGAAAGCUGUGCUCACAUUGUGGAGUCCACUCGAACUUUUUAUCUUUCUUGAGAAGUUCCGUGAGGGGUUUGGCUACUUUGGAGAAAUUUUCAACAAAGCGGCGACAAUAGCUGGCUAGACCAAGGAAACUCCUAACUUGUUUAACGGUCUCAGGUGGAGUCCAAUCGAGAAUAGCCUUGACUCUCUCGGGAUUGACAGCAAUGCCCUUACCAGAAAUUACGUGGCCUAGGUAGGUCACUUCUGGCAACCAAAACUCGCACUUGGAGAACUUGGCAUAAAGACGGUGCUCUCUGAGUUUUUCCAACACAAGUCUAAGAUGUUCGGCAUGCUCUUCCUCGUUCUUCGAGUAAAUAAGAAUAUCAUCGAGGUAAACCACGACGAGCUUAUCUAAGUACUCCAUGAAGAUCGAGUUCAUCAAGCGGGAGAAUGUGGUUGGGGCGUUGGUUAGGCCAAAGGACAUGACGGUGUACUCGUAUUGGCCAUAACGAGUAACAAAGGCUGUUUUCGGAAUGUCCCCAUUUCUGAUUUUGAUUUGAUGGUAACCCAACCUCAAAUCCAUUUUAGAGAAGACUGAGGAUCCAGCGAGCUGGUCAUACAGGUCAUUGAUCCUGGGGAGCGGAUACUUGUUCUUAAUUGUGACCAAGUUGACAGGUCGAUAAUCUACAACCAUCCGGUCCGUACCAUCCUUCUUCUUGACGAAGAGGACGGGGCAAGCCCAAGGAGAUGAACUAGGUCGGAUGAAACCCUUUUGCAAGGACUCAUCAAGUUGUUUCUUAAGCUCGGCUAGUUCAAAAGGUGCCAUCUUGUAGGGUCUUCUGGAAAUCGGGACAGUUCCUGGAAUGAGAUCUAUUACGAACUCGACAUCUCUGUCAGGUGGAACACCUGGAAAUUCCUCUGGAAAGACAUCCGGAAAGUCACGGACUACCGGAACGUCUUCGAGGUCUGGCAAUGGGCUGGCGUUAAGAGAAUAUAGCUGUCGCUUGGCUACUCGGGUCAAGACAUUAACUAUCUUCCCCGAAGGAUGGGUGAGUUGAACAGUCCUAGAAAAGCAAUCAAUUUUGGCAUGAUGGGCUGACAUCCAGUCCAUACCCAAGAUGAUAUUAAUAUCCGAAGAUUUGAGGGCUAUCAAAGAUGCGAGAAAAACAAGUUUGUCGACUUGAAUUUCAUUUCCAUGGCUUACUCUAGAGGUUUGCCAUUUGGAUCCCGGAGUUUGAAUUACCAUAGAGGUGGGCAUCUCACAGAAUGUGGUGUUAUGCAGACGAGCAUAGCUCUUGGAUAUAAAUGAAUGAGAUGCUCCUGUAUCGAAAAGAACAGAUGCCGGGUGGCAAUUAACAAGGAGCGUACCGAGAACGACGUUGGGAUCCUCUUGAGCUUCCUCAGCAGAGAUAUAGUUGACAUGGCCACGUGCAGCGGUGGCCGGCUUGGCGUGGAACACUUUCCCUGUCGACUUGCCGCGGCCAACAGUUUUUGCUGUCUGGUUGGGGUUGGUUUGGGGACACUCGCGCAUAUAGUGGCCUGAUUCCCCACACUUGAAACAAGUCACGGAGCUGGUGCGUGAGGGAGCAUUGUUGGUUGGACCACCAUAGGGCUUGGCUGGUGCAUAUGACUGAGCUGGGCGAGGUGCCUGGAAGGAUGGCCUCGGUGUGAACCUGGGUGGCAGGGCAGUAUUAGGCACCCACACGCGGCGCUUCUGAGGACCAGCACCGGAUGAGGAACCCAAGUCACGGCCAUGCUUGCGUGUUGCUUCAUAAUCAGUCUGACCAGUCUCAGCACUGAUGGCCUUGUUAACAAGCUUCUGAAAAGAGGUGCACUCAUGCAGAUGGAGGUCGCGGCGAAGCUCAGGACUAAGUCCCUUACGGAACCUUGCUUGCUUCUUGGCAUCAGUAGAAACUUCCUCCGUCGCAUAACGGGCAAGGUUACCAAACUCCCUGCUGUAAGCGUCAACAGAGAGUCGACCUUGAGUGAAACUGCAAAAUUCCUCACGUUUACGGUCCAUGAGACCCUCCGGAAUGUGGUGUUCACGGAAAGCCUCGCUGAAUUCAGCCCAAGUAGUGACAUGGUCCGCUGGGCGCAUAGCUCCAUAAUUCUCCCACCAGAGACUGGCGGGGCCUUCAAGAUGAUAUGCAGCAAAGGUGACCUUGUCAACCAAAGCUACUAGCGCAGAACGUAGUUUGUGGGAAUACUGCGAAGCCAGUCAUCAGCGUCGAGAGGCUCGACGGAGUGGUGGAACGUGGGUGGAUGUAACUUGAUGAAAUCACUGAGUGACACCAAGUUAGUCCUCUGAUGGUGUGCUGUGUUCUGUUCAAUACGCUCCAACAAACGGUUGGUCUCCCGCUUGUUUCUCUCAGCCUCUAGCAUAACUUCUGCCAGAGAGGGAGGGUGAGGCGGAUUUGUAUCCCCAACUCUGCUGCCUUCGGCCUGCUCUAGGGAAGCAGGGUUGUUGCGGGUGUUGACCAUCCUAGGAAAACAAGACAAUGGUUUAGUCCAACAUGACAAGAUUCUGACAUAGAAUGUAGAAUGUAAUGGACAACUCAGAAUGCAAGAUGAUCAUCCGUAUGACAUGGUAGAUACAGAAACUACUUCUUUUAUUCCAUCGUCAUACACACCAUACGAGGUUUAGUACAAGACCAACAAGUACUACUAUGGUGAAAAGAGGAUUACAUCUCACCAAAGGCAUCCCAAGCUCCUAUACAUUAUUUUUCCUACACCCCGGGAUUACUACAUGCUAAGUCAUAUUCCACAAGUCACGCAGGACGGUGGAAAUACAACUAUUACAAUACCUAGUGGAACUACUACUAUCUCAGUCAUCUCCGUAGUAGUUCUCAUAGAAGUCCCCUCCAUAGCCUGGAAGUUCAACGUGAGCAUCCGGAAACAAACGGUCCUGAGGAGCCUGUGGACCAAAAGGGCUAGGGUGGGGUCUUGGACCAACAAACGGUGGCCUGCGAGGACCACGAGGUGGGGUGAUGCCUCCCACAUCACGCCAAUCCAUCAUGUCCGGCAGAGCAGACCUAACAGGAUACAGAUCUCUCAUAUCCAUGCAUCCAGCUUGCACAGCCGGUGCAAACCGAGUCAAGGUGGCCCAAUGAUCAGCGCGGGUGUUGAAAAGCUCCAUUCUCAAGGCCCGAUUCUCUCGGUCCUUAUCCUCGAGCAACUCAGCAGUGGUGCGAGUUAGUGAGUCCUCUUGGCUGGGUCAGCAUAGAUAGCCCGGAGAUAACCGUGCGCUCCAGGAAGUGAAGCUGGCAUAUACCGAAAGUCGGUGUUGCGAAGCAGGCCAGACCUGACUCGCAUGAUGGUCAUCAUAGAAUAAGCCGCAUCUUGCACAGCCAUCUCAAUAGUAACACCGAGCCCAUAGGAACAGUGAAGAGCCUCGGUAGAACCAGGAUAAGAGGGAAAUAUCCGGACGGUGCAAAGAUACUAGCUUUGGUUAAAAUCUCGAAACUGCUCUUCGACCGUGUAUUCGGGAUACCAACGGUAACCCGUCUCGAUCAUCACUCGGACUAACAUAGACGUAUGACCGGUCACACCAAUGCAUCAGGUCAGGAGAACCACUUGAUUUUGGUCGCGAGUGGCCAUAUGAAAGCACAACCAUAAUGCAAAGGCAUUAGAAUUUCUAGCAAAAUUUCGACAGCAUGACGGCUGUAAAUGCUCAAGAAGGGUUUGAGACAUUUAUCAAAAAAGUUGCAUAGACACUCAACAAUAUCAUAUCAAGGUUCUAGGAUUCAACUUAUCAACAUAACAAGGUAGUAGAACUGAACUAGGCUUGUAGUCAUCAAACCUAUAAGGUACUACUGAUUCGUAACACGUGAACCUGAUAGAGAGAGAAGAUCCUAAUCCUUAAUCCCCGGUAGAAGAAUGGAUUGACUCAGAUCAGAAUGCCAUGAGGUAAAGAAGUAAAAAGAGCCUUACGUACCAUCCCACAAUCAAUUCCCCUACAUAUAACUAAAGCAUUUCUAGACUCAACAUCGACCAGUUUGGCUUGGAGAACCUACAGGCAGUCCGGCUCUGAUGCCAACGCUGUCAGGACCCCGACUCAGUGUCACAUCGAUCUAGCCUGUAACACCUCAUAUCACUUUGCGGCCUCACGCACGGUAUUCCCACGGGUGUCGCCUCACCUUUGCCCGGGACCGUUUGCGCCUUUUGGCUCAUGUAUAUGAUGAUGUCGCUAGCAUCCAUAUGAUAAGGAGCCCGGGCUGACAUGACUAGUCGUAAACCCAAAGUGGCACAGACUUACAGGGACAGGCAUCCAUGACCCAGCAUCGAACGUGUUGGUCAUCAGCAAGUGGGUCCGGGCUGUAGCACUGGGCUAGCAGGACUCUAGUAAACCGGGCUGUAGCGGGCUAACAGGGCUCCGGUACUCAAUGUGUGACAUUUCCCCAAAGGGACAGACACAGGAAUGAAGAAGGACACAUGCCGGCCAGCCUAAGUGUUCCGGAGCAGUAGCAUGCUACCAUGGCUCAAUGGAAACACUAGGAGACAUUUCCCGGUAAGAGAGGCUACUAAAGAUAAACAACUAGAUAGUCAGAUCCCACACAUACCAAGCAUUUCAAUCAUACACACAAUAUGCUCGAUAUGUGCAAAUACAACAAGGCAUCACAACAUGACUCUACGACACAAGUACUUUAUUUAAAGGCUCAGAGAGCCAUACAUAACAUACAUACAAGUACGGGUCACACGACCCACAUUCAAGUCAUACAGUCAUACAAACCAGCAGCGGAAGUAAUUUGUCUGAGUACAGACAACUAGUAAAAUAAAAGAGGCUUGGAAAGCCUAGCUAUACUACAUGGUCCUUCACGUGCUCAGGAUCACCACUUGGGCCUUAGUCUACUCGUCGAUGUCAAUGUCUACGAAGAACCCGUCAGAAGGGGUUGCAGCGUCUUCUGUAAAAUGUAAAUUAUAGCAACAUGAGUACAAAGGUACCCAGCAAGACUUACGUCAGAUCCUACAUACAUGCACAUUAUCAAGAAGGGUUGGUGGAGUUAUUGCAGCAAGCCGGCUUUGACUCUUGGCUAAACUAUCCUACGAGACUCCAACUUGAAAUGGUUUUGCGCACACGAGUCCACUACUCACCACUUCAAUACACAACCGAGAAUCCACCUCCGUCUUCCUACGGAGGGGCCAUCCUCGGCACUCACGCUUAUCUUGAAGCUUUUAGUAGUUUCCAGUUUACUUAUCUAUGAACUGUAUAGGCAACCAAGUAGUCCUUCACCGGGACGCGGCUAUUCGAAUAGAUCAUGUUAACCCUGCAGGGGUGUACUUCUUCAUACACGCUCUCACCACUUACCGCCGUUUACACGACAUGUACUCGGCAACCUUCAAGCGGAAGCCCAAUGUGGGUGUCGGCCACGACCUACCUAAUCACCUAAGCCUCCAAUCCAGGUUUAUCGCCUAUCCAGGUUCCAUCCGCAGGGAGUCCGGCCGAGGUUUCCCAUACGGCCCCGAACGAUGUGUACAGGGUUCUUGAGAUACCUAACGGGUAUUCGAUACACCGUGCCACGUACCUACCGCAUCACAGCCCACCCCUACGGUCAGCGCUGCCCACGGCCUCCAGUAGGCUACAAACACCAGAAACUACUUGCAACUCCUGGACAGAGAACUAGGGUGAAUAAGAAGCCGAGAGGGUCCAUUGGUUUCGGGCCCAAUGCAUGGUAGUAGCUGAUUCUUAGAUCACACAUACAGAUCUCAGUGCUUAAGGUCGACUUCAAUGAAACAACCCACCAUGUACUCCUACAUGGCCUCUCAUCGAUACCUUUACCAAAUCGUGUUCACCACAUCACUCUCAAUACCGGCAUAAUCAUUUCACUCUAGCCCAUCACCCAGAUGAACCAGACCUGACACGACUCUACGCAUAGCAGGCAUGGCAAGGUAGGAACAACACAUACAUAUGGCUCAAACAACUCCUACACAUGCUAGUGGGUUUCAUCUAGUUACUGUGGCAAUGACAGGUCAUGCAGAGGAAAUGGGUUCAACUACCGUAGCACAGAGCAGUUUGAAACGCGUUGUCUUAAUGCAGUAAAAGAGAGCAAGAGCGAGAACAUGGGAUUGUAUCGAUAUGAUCAAAUGGUUGGUUGCUUGCCUGAUGGAUCGAUGCACGGAUACGAUUCUUCGCUAGGGUAAUCACGGUACUCCUCGGAGGCAGAACCUGCCGCAAAGAACACCGAUACACAACCAUCACCAAACAAUGUGCGACAAUAUGAUGCAUGCAUGAAACAUGGCAAUAUGAGUGUGUUGGGCUAAUGCAACUAAAACCAGAUGGGUUUGAAUCAAUUUGAACCAAAGAUUCAAAUUUCAAACUCAUAAAUGGCCCUUUAAAGUGUUUUAUCUUGUUCUGCACUAAACAGCAAGUUAACUUGUUUAAACAUGCAUGAAAACAGUACAGAUGGAUAGAUUGGAUUUUUCUGAUCAUUUUUCAUAUAUAACUUGUUUGAUUUGGAGUUACAGAUUAAAAGUUAUGAAUUUUUGAAGUUUAAACUAUAUUCUGGAAUUUCCUAUAUUAGAAUAAAUCCAGAAAUUAAUUUAUUGCGUCAGCCAUGCGUCAGAAUGACGUCAGGGUCAACGGAGACGUCCAGGUCAAACCUGACUAUGGGUCCAGGGUGUCAGGGUAAUUAGUUUAAUUAAAGUUUAAUUAAAACUAAACCUAUUUAGUUAACAGGGCUGGGCCCCACCUGUCAUUGACUCAUCGGAGUCAACCAGGGCCCACCGUGGUCGAAGUCAACAUCGGCUGCACCGGCGUCUAGCUGCCGGCGAGCCCGACGUGGCGGCGGAAGUGCGUUUGGCCGUUUCGGCAACCAAACGAGCCGCGGAGGGUGGCUAUGGAUAGCUGGGAACAUGCCGCAGCUUCUGGUGGAGUCGGUUGGGGUCGGGGCGGCCGGAAUCGGCGCCGGCGACGACCUAGGCGGUCGCCGGAGUUCGGCUGAAGGCGAACUUGAGGCUAGAGGGGUCGGUGAGGUGCGGGGAGUAGUUGGUUAGGUGCUACGUGACGUGGUGAGCACGAUGGACACCAAGUGGUGGCCGGAGGGUGACCGGGAGCACGUCGGCGACGAGCUCCGCGGCGGUGGGUGCGGUUGAGCUCCGGGAGGUCACUACACAGCUCGGGGGCAAGAAAGGAAGGGAGGGGAAGAUGGUUAAGCUCACAGGGAACUCGACGAAACACUUGGUGCGGCCGGGGACGGGCCGGAGCGACGACGGCGUUGAAGGGGAUCUCCGGCGACGGCGGUUCGGUCGAGGUCGGUGCGGUGGACUCGGGCCUUGCGAGCGCUCGGGGCUCGGCUUGCUCGAAGGCGAGGAGGGUGGCGGAGCUCCUGGACACGGCGGCACGGCGUGGGGUUGACGGAGGGCGUGGCUACGGCGAGGGGAUGGCGGCGAUGGCGUCGGCCAUGGCGUGGGAGAGCGAGGGAGAGGAGUUUGGGGGGAAUGGAGGUGUCCUGGGGGUUCACGGCUCGACGUGGAGUUCAUCCAAGCCAGCAACGAGGCGAGGAGGUGAAGCAGGGCGACGGCCAGCUGCGUGACCCACGCUGCGGCCGCCGUCGGGCACCUGCCUGCCUGCCUGGCCGGCAAGCAGCUCGCUGGCGCGGCGCUGGGCUGGGCCGGCAGGUGGGCCGGUUAGCAGCGCCAGGUAAGUUUUCUGUUAUUUCCCUUUUCUAUUUUUCUGCAACUUUGUGGAGUUUUUAAAAAUACUUAAAUGGCUCCAAAAAUCACCAAACUGCUCCUGGUCCAUAGUUGGAUUAUUUCCAACAUGAAACAUUUCUGUUUGGGAAUAUUUGGGCAUUUGCAAUAUUUUAUAUAAUUUGAACUGCUCAAAUUCAAAUACUAAUGAAUUAAUUCAAAAACCUUAGGAUGACCUAGAAAAUGGUGCACCACUUUUGGCAGAGGCUCUGAACGAAAACAAAGGUGAUGAGCAUUUUUAAGGGCCUUUCAGGUUCAUUGAAAUAAUUUUUAGUAAACCCUAGUUGGAUUAAAAGGGAUUCUGGGGGUUUCUGUCCUUCCCCAUUUCAAAUUCAAAUGAUAUUUAAACAUGAUGCACACACUAAUGCAGGGACUAGCUAGGAUGUGACACAUAAUAAACAUCACAUGCAAUUAAAUAGUAGUGACAUGAUAUGGCCAAUAUCAUAUAGCUCCUUUGUCUCCAUCUUCGGGGCUCCAUGAUCAUUUUCGUCACCGGCAUGACACCAUGAUCUCCAUCAUCAUGAUCUCCAUCAUCGUGUCUCCAUGAAGUUGCUCGCCAACUAUUACUUCUACUACUAUGGCUAACGGUUUAGCAAUAAAGUAAUUACAUGGUGUUAAAUCAUUGACACGCAGGUCAUGUAAUAAUUAAGACAACUCCUAUGGCUCCUGCCGGUUGUCAUACUCAUCGACAUGCAAGUCGUGAUUCCUAUUACAAGAACAUGAUCUCAUACAUCACAAUAUAUCAUUCAUCACAACUUUUGGCCAUAUCACAUGACAAAGCAAUUGCUGCAAAAACAAGUUAGACGUCCUCUAAUUGUUGUUGCAUCUUUUACGUAGCUGCAAUAGGAUUCUAGCAAGAACGUUUUCUUACCUACGAAAAACCACAACGUGAUUUGUCAACUUCUAUUUACCCUUCAUAAGGACCCUUUUCAUCGAAUCCUCUCCAACUAAAGUGGGAGAGACAGACACCCGCUAGCCACCUUAUGCAACUAGUGCAUGUCAGUCGGUGGAACCUGUCUCACGUAAGCGUACGUGUAAGGUCGGUCCGGGCCGCUUCAUCCCACAAUACCGCUGAAGCAAAAUAAGACUAGUAGUGGCAAGAAAGUUGACAACAUCUACGCCCACAACAGAUUUGUGUUCUACUCGUACAAUAGAGAACUACGCAUAGACCUAGCUCAUGAUGCCACUGUUGUGGAACGUUGCAUAAAAUAUAAAAAAAUCCUACGUUCACCAAGAUCAAUCUAUGAGUUCAUCUAGCAACAAGAGAGAGGGGUGCAUCUACAUACCCUUGUAGAUCGCGAGCGGAAUCGUUCAAGAGAACGGGGUUGAGGGAGUCGUACUCGUCGUGAUCCAAAUCACCGGAGAUCCUAGCGCCGAACGGACGGCACCUUCGCGUUCAACACACGUACGGUCGGCGUGACGUCUCCUCCUUCUUGAUCCAGCAAGGGGGAAGGAGAGGUUGAUGAAGAUCCAGCAGCACGACGGCGUGGUGGUGGAUGCAGCAGGGAUCCGGCAGGGCUUCGCCAAGCGACUACGGGAGGGAGAGGUGUAGCAAGGGGGGAAGGGAGGCGCCAGGUGUCAGGGUGCGGCUGCCCUCCCACCCACCCUCUUUAUAUAGGGACCCCAGGGGGGCGCCGGCCCUAGGAGAUGGGAUCUCCUAGGGGGGGGGCCAAGGGGGAAGACUUGCCCCCCAAGGCAAGUGGAGGCGCACCCUCCCCUAGGGUUCCCAACCCUAGGCACGGAGGGGGGCCCAGGGGGGCGCACCAGCCCACCAGGGGCUGGUUCCCCUCCCACUUCAGCCCAUGGGGCCCUCCGGGAUGGGUGGCCCCACCAGUGGACCCCCGGGACCCUUCCGAUGGUCCCGGUACAAUACCGGUGACCCCCGAAACUUUCUCGAUGGCCGAAACUCGACUUCCCAUAUAUAAUUCUUUACCUCCGGACCAUUCCGGAACUCCUCGUGACGUCCGGGAUCUCAUCCGGGACUCCGAACAACUUUCAGUUUGCUGCAUACUCAUAUCUUUACAACCCUAGCGUCACCGAACCUUAAGUGUGUAGACCGUACGGGUUCGGGAGACACGUAGACAUGACCGAGACGGCUCUCCGGUCAAUAACCAACAGCGGGAUCUGGAUACCCAUGUUGGCUCCCACAUGCUCCUCGAUGAUCUCAUCGGAUGAACCAUGAUGUCGAGGAUUCAAGCAACCCCGUAUACAAUUCCCUUUGUCAAUCGGUAUGUUACUUGCCCGAGAUUUGAUCGUCGGUAUCCCAAUACCUCGUUCAAUCUCGUUACCGGCAAGUCACUUUACUCGUACCGUAAUACAUGAUCCCGUGACCAGACACUUGGUCACUUUGAGCUCAUUAUGAUGAUGCAUUACCGAGUGGUCCCAGAGAUACCUCUCCGUCAUACGGAGUGACAAAUCCCAGUCUUGAUCCGUGUCAACCCAACAGACACUUUCGGAGAUACCCGUAGCGUACCUUUAUAGUCACCCAGUUACGUUGUGACGUUUGGUACACCCAAAGCACUCCUACGGUAUCCGGGAGUUACACGAUCUCAUGGUCUAAGGAAAAGAUACUUGACACUGGAAAAGCUCUAGCAAAUGAACUACACGAUCUUGUGCUAUGUUUAGGAUUGGGUCUUGUCCAUCACAUCAUUCUCCUAAUGAUGUGAUCCCAUUAUCAAUGACAUCUAGUGUCCAUAGUCAGGAAACCAUGACUAUCUGUUGAUCAACGAGCUAGUCAACUAGAGCCUCACUAGGGACAUGUUGUGGUCUAUGUAUUCACACGUGUAUUACGAUUUCCGGAUAAUACAAUUAUAGCAUGAAUAAAAGACAAUUAUCAUGAACAAGGAAAUAUAAUAAUAAUCCUUUUAUUAUUGCCUCUAGGGCAUAUUUCCAACACCUUCAACUUCAUUGUCUUCGGUUUGAGUGGACUUAGCCAUCUACACCCUAUUGUGACUGGGUAUCCCAUGUGAGAUAGAGAUCUCUUCGUGAUGGAAAUUAAAGUCACGGAUGGGAAUGGUGUUAAGACAAAAUUUUGGGAGUCACCUUGGGUGGACGGUUUGAGGCCAAAGAACAUCACGCCAAAAAUAUUUGAUGUUUCUAGAAAGAAGGGCAACACAGUGCAAAAAGCUCUCCAUGAUACCUAGGUCACUCAAAUCGACAUGGCGGACGUCAUUACCAUUGAACACAUACAGGAGUUUGCCACCCUUCCGGGAGAUGUUGGAUGGUGUUACUCUCGACCAUGACACGGACAAUGUGAUCGCGUGGAAGUUCACCAAUAACGGUUUGUUCUCGUCGCCCUCGGCCAACGAGGUGCAAUUGGAGGGUUCACCAUCACGCCUUUGCUAUAAACUGUUUGGAAGGGGUGGGUUACCCCCUACGGUGAAGUCUGCCAGCCGUCCAAAAUGGGCUGACAGACUUCACCAUAGGGGGUGGCCCAAUUGUGACGUGUGCCCUCUUUGCAACCAAAUUCAAGAAAUGUCAGCCCACUUGCUUUUCCUAUGUUGUUACACGAUUAUGAUUUGGAAUACAGUGAAGGUGUGGAUUGGCUUCGUUGACAUCUUGACGAGUGAGUGGUCAAGCAUGGUCAUGGUGGAAGAUUGGUGAACUGGCAUCCUCAAAAGAUCUCCAAAUUAGAAAGCAAGGAUCUGAUGAUGCUCAUAUCCUAGGAAGUGUGGAAGGAGCAAAAUGCUAGGGUCUUUUGGAACACCGCUACCCCAACUAUGAUCAUUGUUGACAAAAAAAAUCAAAGAGGAGGCACUCCUGUGGGUGAUUGCCACUUGAGUAGUUGUUUUGCCUCACCACCUUGUGGCUUUGUCUUGAACCUCUACUGUUUGAAUGGCAAAUCUUUUUGCCUCGUCUCAAAAAAAAAACAGAGGCUUACUUUCUUCCAUCCUUUCAAUUUACUACUUCCGCUAUCUCAUUGUUGUGUGUUCGCCAAUGUUUUAAAUAGCGGGCUAUGGAAAAUAGCGGUGGGCCUCCAAAUCAGCUACAGCGGAGGUAUAGCGGGCUAUUUGUGAAGGAGACCAUUUAGCGGCACCAUGUUGAAAAGGCUAUAGCCGGCUAUUUAAAACUAUGGAGUUCGCAGCUUUUUUGUACUAGUAACCUGCUUGUAAAUACAGUAGAUGGUUUUUUCAUAAAGAAAUAAUAGAAAGAGGGAUUCCACAAACAAUCCCUUUGAUCUAAACUCAUCAGUCUAUCUGAUACAGGGAGGGCGUGAGAUGAAUCCACAUAAGAAACGAUAUAUAGUUUGGGAACUAGAGAGAGCAAUAGCAGAAGAAAAGGGGGCAGCCUACCUAGAGACAGAUUAAAGGAGCGAGCCGGGAACUUGGAGAGUUCAAUUCGUGAUGCUUGCUAGGAUCAGCUGAGCUGACAGAGCACUUGGCAGAAAGUUGAAGCCUUGGGUUUCCAGUGUAUAUAUCGCUGAGUUCUUUCAGUAUGCGUUUGUGGCUUGUCCCCUGCACCGCGCACAAUGACUGUAGGGUACAGUUUUGAGCAAGACAAGGGCAUUGGUUGGGUGAACAAUCAGGACCUAGUACCUCACUUGUUUGCAAUUCUACAGGGCUGCUGCAAAUUCAGACUUGUCGCCAAUACAUGUAUCCUCAGCUCCAACUUUUGUGGAACAAAUCAGCUGGCUGACACUGACACUAGCUGCUGCAUCAUAAUGUACUGGUCAUGCACACGGCAACGAGAAACACUGAUCAUAGCAACAAGGUAAUUACAGGAAAUGGCUGAAAUGACCCGGUGCCGCAUCUAAUGACCUACCACAAGUCUGAAGAUGAGGCAACAUUGUGCACUUGUUAUUCUCUUGCUGCCGUUUAUACAAGGAAAAAACUAAUAUUUAGCCUGAUGAUGUUCAAGACUUGGAUAGAAAUAAAGAUGAAUUUUAUUUGAGUUUUAGAAAGUUAGAUGGACUUGUUAUAGGAGUAGUACCUUGUCUUUCUGUUUACUCUAAGAUUUCCUUUGACUGGUUUCUUAAAACUAACAGCAGCUGUUGCCCUAAUAAAUUAGGAAGUUGAUGGUAUUGGCUUACUGGAUGUCAUUUUUUGGGGGGGUCUGGAGAAGUCUAGGCAUGUUAAGAGUUUGCCGAUCAACUCACCGUAUCUUGUUUUGAUGGUGACUGGGAGUUGUUUCAGACAUAGGUUUCACAGUAGAACAUUCCAACAAAACUGCAAAACUAGUUCAGUAUGUAAACAAUUAUAUCACUGUACAUCAUCGUGUAUGUUCUGUUUACUAGCGGCACGCUCCAUCUGCAGGAAAAGAUUGAUGAUCCUAUAUAUGUUUGCAUAUCUCUGCUUUAUGUCAUCAUCGUUGCAUUGAGGAUCUGUUCGAAUGGAUCAGUAUUUGCUGCCAUCAUACAUAUGUUAGCUUAUGGGAAGGAGGGAAUACUCUGCUUUGGGGCUUCCAGACCAUGCAUGGCAUACACUGCUUGAAGGAGGAGUGGAGGACCAAACAGCAAAGAAACAAGGACAACCAACUCAGAGCCUAAACAUGUAUUAACAGACUAGAACUAGAAUCCAAGCCCAAUAGAACAGAAAAUAAAAUACUGAGGAACCCCUUCAAGCGCAAUUCAACAGAAAAUAGAUUACACAGGUUCAGAUUCGAAGCCUGAGCUUACACACCACCUUGUUGUCCUGGUAAAAUCCUGAGUGGGCCACAAAACAUUCCAUCACUAAGUGAAGUAGAAGGCCAGGACAACAUUAUAGGCUAGAUACAGAAGCUUGGGCUUUGAAAAGAAGGCAAAGUUUCAAGAUGGGCAUCGACUACAUCAGAGAAAGACUUGGAGGCUUAGGGCCUGUUCAGCAACUGCCCAACUCCAGAAAAUCCUCAAAUCCGGCUUCUCGAUCUAGCUUCCAGCUUCUUGACAAAAAUCUCAGAUCGGAAAAACUGUUCGGCAACCGAACUCCAUGAUCCCAAUCGCUAGUCUUGGGCCGCUAGCUGCCUAGCCCAUUAAGCUCCAUUCCAGCCUCUCUUUUUUUUUUGACCUGUAGCUCCAUUCCAGCCUGGUAGGGAGGGAAGCGACAAGCUCCUUCUGUUUUCCACUCGAACGAAUCGUUUUCUUUGACUUGGCGGUGGCAACUCUCCGUAAAUAGCUUGAACUCCUCGUUUUCCAAUUUCUGAGAUCGGCGAAACACCAGCUUUGUCGCAACCUGGGAAAGUUGGAGUGAUCUUCGCAAGGAGUACUCCUUAAUUAGUGAUUUCGAGGUUUUUGUACUACGACCAGCCCCAGAUCUCGGAAGCUAGCUUCGCGGAGUCCAACCGUUCGGCCCAGCUCCACCAGCGGGUUCGGCGAAGCCAGGAGCUGGGGAGUUGCCGAACAGGCCCUUACUGGCUAGAACCACACGUUGGUGGUCUUGGCAGCCCAAGUUCUAACUAAAUUUGGUAUACAACAUCUCCUAGACCCUUCUCUUCACACGUUGAGCAUACAAUGGAGGGCAAGUCAAAGGGGUCAUCCAUUGACAAAUCAUGGGUAUGCCUGUUGUGUGUGAAAGCAUCCUUAGUGCCACAUCUCAGUUCAAUUCGAGCAUCUCGAGAAGCUCUACUGUUGCAUUGUAGGUUAAGGAGUUGACUAGUACACCAUCGGUGCUGGCGGUGGUAAGGAAACCUGAUCUUCAUUUCCUUUAGCCUUUUCGCAUUCAGAACAAAGAACUUGGCAAAGUCAAUAGAUGAACUCUUGGUGCCAUCAUAAUUCUUCAAUACCACUUUUUUUAGAUGAAGCUCAAGACAUUCAAUUGGGUUCAGUGGGUCAUACUUCCGAACAUUAUUNNNNNNNNNNNNNNNNNNNNNNNNNNNNNNNNNNNNNNNNNNNNNNNNNNNNNNNNNNNNNNNNNNNNNNNNNNNNNNNNNNNNNNNNNNNNNNNNNNNNNNNNNNNNNNNNNNNNNNNNNNNNNNNNNNNNNNNNNNNNNNNNNNNNNNNNNNNNNNNNNNNNNNNNNNNNNNNNNNNNNNNNNNNNNNNNNNNNNNNNNNNNNNNNNNNNNNNNNNNNNNNNNNNNNNNNNNNNNNNNNNNNNNNNAUGAGUGGCUGGAACUGGAGAUAGAGAGAACAAACAAUAUAAAAGAAGUUGCCAGCAUGUUAGCAAUACAAUAAUUGUCCAUAUUUCAUGUCAAUCAACUGCUUAUUUUGACAUUUAAAGCAAGCAACUAUGUUUCAUACUCACAAUGACAUAAAGCCUCUCCAAGCAGGGGAAGCAUGCACUUGAGGAAGUUAACCACUGAAUCCAGAUUAGCACCAGCAGAGCCAAGAACCAAAAUGCUCAUGGUGUGCAUUUUGGCUGUCAAACUGACAGCAACCAUUUUCUGCAGAAUAAAGUGCAAAUAUAAGAAUAAUAGCCUGCACAUAAGAAUGUCCGAAUGCAAUUGAUGAAGGUUGCUGCUACCUGAAAAAAUGUACUUCCAAGGUGGAGUUCAGGUAUGCCUUCAGACAGCAUACCCAAUAUCUUCAGUUUAGGUGCGCAGAUUAUCCGUAUGCUCGCUCUGCCGCCCUUUGCAUCAAGUUGUAGCAAUCUCUCAAGGCACGGGGCGUCCUCGAUGACUAGCUCUUGCAAAAUGAUACCUCCAAUCCUCUUGUCAGCGCAAAAGCCUAGACUCUUAAGAGUUUGGGAGCUGAUGCAGAGGCGACUAAUGCCCCAGUUUUCCUUCAGCUCAAGGCUUUCCAAGGCAGGGCAGCCAGAGAGCAUGCUCUGGAGAACGACCUCCGAGAUGGUGACCCUUUCCAGGGCAGCUGCUUGAGGCACCGAAGCUUCAGGGAUAGCCGCUGCAUAAUCAUGUGGGGGAAACGGGUGUCGUGGAAUUUGGCCACGCGGAGAGUGGGCGAAAAGCGGAACACAGACAAUGGCAGCAGGCCCAACUUCUCCACGUUGCUGUACCAAAAAUUAUUCCUGAUGUAGGUGAUCUCGAACUCCUGUAGGUUGUCCAGGGCUUGGGAACUAAGCCAGCCAUUGAUCCUGUCGUUGUUCCUAUCGAUGCUGAUGCAGACAGAGAAGCGUCGUGUGGGGCCAGGAUGCUGAGAGAGGAUCUUUGCAAUCAAGUCCCUUUUAUUGGGUCCACAGUCCACCUCGAGGUUCAGAGGAGCGGAUCGCCAGAGCGGACGCCACCGGCGGGAGAUGACCUGCGUGCGGGCACCUUCCUUGGUGGGGAGAAGAGACACGAUGCUGUCAAGGACGGUGUCGGGGAGGCGGCUGAUGAGAUCAGCGCUCCCCCCAUCAACACCACCGAUGAGAUCAGCGCUCCCCGCAUCAACUUCAGCAGUGAGAUCGACGCUGCCCCCAUCACUAUCACCAGUGAGAUCGACGCUCCCCCCAUCAAUAUCACCAGUGCGGUCGACGCUCCCCGCAUCAUCAUCAUUGCUGAGAUUGACGCUCCCCCCAUCAAUAUCACCAGUGCGAACGACGCUCCCCGCACCAACAACAUCGCAGUUGCCGCUCCCCCGUGGAUCUUGGUCGUCGACAAGAUGAAACUUACGCUUCUUGGAAGCUUGCAUUGCCGCCGUCGCAGCAGCGACAGAGACCGCCGCCUUCCCUGCAGCUGUCGCCACAGCCGCUGCCUCCUUCGCCUUUAACGCCGCAGCCGCAGCCUUCGCCGCCGCCUCCUUCGCAGUCGCCGCUGCUUCCAUCGCAGUCGCAGCCGCCGCCGCCGCCUCGUUGGAAGCAGCCGAUGCCGCCGCAGCAGCAGCCAGCGCCGCCUCCUUGGCAGCCGCCACAGCAGCUGAGGCCGCCGCCUCCAUGGCUGGCGGCUUGCCGAGACGCCGUGGGAAUGUCGGUGCGGUGGGGGAAUGGGGAACGAAUCGAGGGAUUGGGAACCGAGGGUUUACUCUACUCAGCAUCGUCCUGUUUGGCGAGGGUUGAUCGAUCUGCCACCGUCCAAAUAUCAACGGCUUAGAUUCAUCCAUCUCGUGAGCGAAAAGGAAAAUGAAAUGGACAAUUUGGCGGCAGCUCGUGGGGUUUUGGCGCCAACUUACUUCUCUGGGCACGGCAAAAAAAAAGGUAGAAAAAUGAUGUAAAAUACAACUCUUAAAGAUGCAAAUUUGCAUCUCCACCUCCCAGGUGAUGUAAAAGUCUAGUCGGGCGCCAACCGUCCAACCGUCUUCAUUUUAUUUUCGCUCGCUCGCCUGGCCGCUGGCAAUUUUUGCCAGGAACCACGCGGUUGUCGCCUGUCCACCAAUCCCGACCCCGUCGCAACCCUGCUGCCUAUCCUCCCCGCCAGUCGCGUUGUCCUAGUUGCCGACGACCCGCAGAUUUGAGUUCGCCUCGUUGACGACCGUCCACCUCCGCCGCCGGUGAUUUGUGCCCGAAAAUGUCGUCGCUGUCGCCCGUCCAUCCAUCCCCCACCCCACGGCCUAUCCUCGCCACUAGACACGCCGUCCUAGCCGCCGACAACCCGCCGAUUUGAGUUCGCCCCACCAAUGACCGCGCGGCCGAUUCAGAGGUUUGCCGGAGCUCCGGUGGCCGUAUUGGCCGUAGCAUCUCACUGCCGCCUUCCUUGAUAGCCGCUGCCCGCCGCCGAACUAGUAGGGCAACCGUGUGAUCACCGCAACCCGCCGAGCUGGCGAUUUCUCGGUCGUUGUCGCCGCCACGAGCGGAGUCCUCCGGCAGCCACGCGGGCGUCCAGAGGCUGUUGAAGCAGCCGCCACCCACCCCAGACAAGGUUUGUACUGCUGAUCAACGCUCCGACCCACCGCCGGCCGGUUUCUUCCACCUCUAACGCAACGUGUUUGACAAAAUUAUUUGUUGGAGUAGGUGGUUUACAUCACCAAAUAUACAUCAUCUGUUGGAGUAGAAGGUUUACAUCAUCAAAUAUACAUCAUCUGUUGGAGUAGAAGGUUUACAUCACCAAAUAUACAUCAUCUGUCGGGGUUGGCUCUUUUUCGCAUAUGUAAAAAGCACUUUCUGCAAAUUAUACAACAUCCACUUUUAAAUCAUCUAUUGGAGAUGCUCUUAUUUUUGCCACCUAAUGGGCAAAGAAAAGAAAAGGUAGAAGAGGGACAUCAUCCUUUAAUUUACCGCUUCCGUUUUAUGUUGUUGCUGUUUUUCGCAGCUCAUUUUGUACUAUUCCCUGUUUUUGUAAAUACAAUAGCUGGAUUUUUCAGAAGAAAAUACUCUGUCCGUUCCAAAAUAAAAGGCGUCUUAAAUUUUCAGAAAAUCAAACUUCUCAAACUUUGAUCAAGUUUAUUGAGAAAAUAUCAAUAUAUGCAAUAUCAAAUAAGUACCGUUAAAUUUGGUAUGUUUACAAUUAUUGUAGAUGUUGAUAUGUUUUGCCAUAAACUUGGUCAAACAUAGAAAUUUUGACUUUUGGAAAUACUGAUGCACGUUAUAUUUUGAAUAGGAGGGAACAGUAGGAGAUUUUUGCAAACAAGCUCAUCUAAACUCACUNNNNNNNNNNNNNNNNNNNNNNNNNNNNNNNNNNNNNNNNNNNNNNNNNNNNNNNNNNNNNNNNNNNNNNNNNNNNNNNNNNNNNNNNNNNNNNNNNNNNNNNNNNNNNNNNNNNNNNNNNNNNNNNNNNNNNNNNNNNNNNNNNNNNNNNNNNNNNNNNNNNNNNNNNNNNNNNNNNNNNNNNNNNNNNNNNNNNNNNNNNNNNNNNNNNNNNNNNNNNNNNNNNNNNNNNNNNCACCAGGACGUGCAGCAGAAAAGAUAGUUUGAGAACAACAGCAGAAGAAACGGGGAUGACUAACCAGAGACAGAUUAAGCAAGCCGGCAACUAUCAAUUCUCGAUGCUCAGUUGACAGAGCACUUGUACAUAAACCAGACAACAAUAUUUGGUUGGGUGGUUGGGUAAACAAACAGGAUGUAGCCUGCCUCACUUGUUAACAUAAACUGACUUAAGUUGAGAAUAAUUAUAAUAGACUGCUGCAAAUUCUGAGUUGUAUCUGCAGAACACACAUACAUGGACCAUUAUAGUAGCUUUUCUUUCUGUUUACUUAACAAACUGUUUUUCCAGGUUUCUUUAAUUAAAACUUACAGCAACUGAUGCUCUAAUAAAUUAAGAAGGUGAUGGUUGUACCUUACUGGGCUGUCAUUUUCAGAACUUGGGAGGAGUCUAGGCCUGCUAAGAGUCUGCCGAUCAACUCACUGCAUCUCAUUUCGGUGGCAGGCUGGGAGUCGUUUCAGACUUAGUUUUCAGGGUAGCAUUGCAAAUUAGCUUCAUCCAUACGAAAAGAUGUAUGCUGAGCAGUAUAUUUGCUGCCAUCAUACAUAUGUUUUCAUGUCAAUUUAUGGAUCUCUGCUUAUGGGAAGGAGGCGGUACUCUGCUUUGCGACUUCCAGACCAUACAUGUCAUACACUGCUUAAAGUAUGAGGACACGGCCAUCCUUUUUCACUAAAAAGACAGUUAUAUGAUACUCCCUCCGUAAAGAAAUAUAAGAACAUUUAGAUCACUACUUUAGUGAUCUAAACGCUCUUAUAAUUUCUUUACAGAUGGAGUACAUAAAGAUAGUAAAUGCUGGUGUUACUAGCUUACGAUACAAGACCACAACAAAGACACGAGGAUUUCAAACUAAACACAACAGAUUAAAAACCAGCAUCCAAGCGCAAUAGAACAGAAAAUAAACCACUGAGGAACCCCUUCAGGAGCAACAUAACAUAAAAUAAACUACUGAUGAACCACAUCAAGAACGAUAAAACAAAAAGUACAUUACACAAGUUUGGAUUUGAAGCAUGAGCUUAGACACCACCUCCUUUGUCCUGGUAAAAUCCCGUGUGCCACAAAACAUUCCAUCGCUAAAUGAAGUAGUAGAAGGCUGGGACAACAUUAUAGGCUAGAUACAAAAGCUUGGGCUUUGAAAAGAAGGCAAGACAAUUUUCAAGAUGGGCACCAACUACAUCCAAGAAGGAUUGUAGGCUUACUGGCUAGCACCACACGUUGGUGGUCUUGGCAGCCCAAGUUCUAAUUAAAUGUGUAUACAGCAUCUCCCAGACCCUUCUCUUCACACUUCAAGCAUCCUCGGUGGGGCAAGUCAAAAGGGUUGUCCAUUGACAAAUCAUGGGUACACCUGAUGUGUGUGAAAUACUCGCGACUGCCACAUCUCAUUUCAAUUCGAGCAUCUCGUGAAGCUCUACUGUUGACUCGCAGCAUGCUGAGCUGAUUAGCAAACCAUUUGUGUUGGCGGUGGUAAGGCAAUGUGAUUUUCAUUUCCUUUAGCCCUUUUGCAUUCAGAACAAAGAACUUGGCAAAGUUAAUAGAUGAACCACAGAGGCCGUCAUAAUUCUUCAACACCACCUUUUUGAGAUGGAGCUCAAGGCAUUCAAUUGGGUCCAGUGGAUCAUAACUCCGGACAUUAUUGAUAACCUCCCUUAACUGGAA